AAGGAUUGUCUCCUCAAAUCAAAGCAUUCAGCAAAAAAAAAAAAAAAAAAAUACUCUUUACGUAGAUGCUAAAUAGCCAGCAAACACAACCAUGUCAGGAAUUGAGACCUCGAUUAGAAUCAUAACCCCAGGCAAAUAUCAUGUUUGAAGUGUCAUUCCAAAAAGCUAAUACUAAUCAGUACAAAACAUUUUUCGUGAAGUGUGCAUGAACCUUUCGUGUCAAAUCUUAUUUUAAAAGUUAUCGGUUCACAUUCCCAAUUCGUGCAUUUCUUGUUUCCUUUCGUGCAUUUUAAAUUUGAACUGAUCGGUGUGCCAUGAACAUAAAUGAAAUAUUUUCAAGUAGUAGGCUGAUGAAAGUUUCGUCGUUUGUAAAUGAUUUAGUGCACAUUUGAUUUUGCAUUUUUUUUUUCAUAAAACGCGUAUUCGACAUGAUUUUUAGAAGUUAAUAGCUACAUGUGUUGGAUGCAACCCUUGACUAUUGAGUAUACACGAAGUUCAAGAAGAAUCUUGUCACUGCUAUUGAAAAAACAAAAAACUGACGUGAUUUGGGUGUAACAAGUGAUCAUACAAAGUUACAAACAAUAGCUUCUGCAAUGGACAUGGAUGUCGUGUCAAACUGAAGCGAACAAGCUCAUACAAUGCAGUAUAACCAAAAAAAAUAAUCUGAAGUGGUAAAAAAAUCAUAAUAAUAAGUGCAAAUGAAGAGAACUUGAAAGACACCCCAAUUAAGUACUGAACUAAAAUACCAACAUUUGAUUAAGAACAUGUAAAGCAGGAACUGCCGCACACAAGUACGUUUUUUUACUGGCAAAAACCCACGCUCAAUAAAAAAAUUGUUGUAACUAUUUUUUUCCCCUUAAAAUCAUAUACCUUCUAUUCCAAACAAAAGAUGCAAAACGUGUUUCCUAUUUUGCUUGGGUGAGAGCUGACGUUAAAACAAGAAUAGAACAUCGAAAUGUUUAAAGAGUUUCCCUCAGAUGAAGGAUGUAUCAUGUCGUUUUUUACAUUCUAAUAUUUUCUUGUAACCUAGAUCGAGUAACAUUCUACUCAAUCCUGGCAUGAGUUGAAAGUUAUAGUUUCUACAAGAUGUCAUGAGUUGCAUCCAAAAAUAUGUGAUCUGAAUUUAUCCAGCUCAGUGAGCACCUCUUCCUCUGGUCGAUAUAUUAUAUCUCUAUCAUCCGCCAUAUCUGCAUCAUAAAGAAUUGGGAAAAAGAAAAAAGCUUUAGUUAUAUUACAUGCACAAUAAUGACCAAAACCUAUGAUACAUAUCAGAAUAUUUUCAUAUCUCCGGCAUUUUACAAUUUCCUUUUCACAUAAUAAUAAAAUCAAGAAAUUCAUGGGAACAAUCAGAAACCCACUACUUUAUACAAUAAGUCAAACAAGGGAGUAUAACUAGGUUUGGCAAAAUUCAACCCCACUUGUGCCACAAUCUGUUAUGGACGAGAAAUCCAAAAGAUGCCAUAAAUUUCUGUUACCUGUAGGGUGCCCCCUCCACCACUACUUUCACAAUCAUCAGAAACACUAACAAUUGUCCAUGGAUCAGAUGCAUUCCAGUGGAAGUCAACAACCUUGUCCCUGAAUGCACAAGUACACAUCGUAUUGAAACAUUAUUAUUAAUAAGAUCCAUCAGUGUUGCAUGGUUGGCACAGAGUAUUUACUUUGUCAACAGUCAAAUAUUACAUCACAGCAAAUUACAAUAUUGUGCAAUUGAACAGUUCCAGUUGCAAUAAAAACUCAAACAGCUUAAACAUAAUGUUGAAUUCCAAUGAACUGAAUAAAGAAAUGAAAGCACACAACCAUUUGAUAUCAUACCUAUGCCCAGCAUGUCGAAAGAAUAAACCAGGGGGAGUAUUUGAUGCUUUUGAACUAGCAGAGUCUGUUGUUUUACCAACCUAAUAGUAGUUUUUUAGCUUGACACCAAAAAUUUUAGAUAACAAAAACAAACAUGCAAUAUAGGAAAAACAAAAUUCUGGCAUCACCAUCAAUCAUAAAAAAUUAAAAAUACAAUAAGCAAGAGUGAUAGAAUAGCUAUAGCCCAUCAAACCUCAUCUUGAUUUUUACAAAAAGGUCCAUUUUUUUCCUGCCAACAGGAUUCUAUGCAUGACUUUAGCAAGCAGUGAUAAUUCAGAAAACUAAAUUAUCAUGAUAGGACUAGCCCAGUUGGAAAUAAAAACAGAUAAGCAAGAAGAUUCUUCCAAAUAUUUAUGAUGUGCGGCAUUUAGAUCUCUUAUUUUUCCUGGAAGGGCUUAAACAACAAUAACAAAAAGGCCUGUGAAUUCAGGUUUUUCAGUAGCUCUAGCACUCAAAUAAAAUUUGUAAGUCCAUAAGAUCUACAUUUGAUUAGUAUUAGUAUAAUAUACAAAUUCACAUUUCAUAAAAAGAGAGGUGGCAUGGGACAAAAAGGUCUAUGACUUGAAAAAAUUUUAGAGUUCAAACCUUGUCAUGGUCCCAGAUGUUUAAAAUACCAUCUUCAGCAGUACUUCCAAAUACAGAUGGCUUGUCAGGACUCCACUGAAACAGAUCAAAAUUGUAGGUUAACAAGCACUCAAUUACAAUGCCCAAAACUGAAGUGCACAUUAAAACUGCAAUUAAAAGAAACAAGGUGGGAUCCUCCAGCCACCUGUACAGAGGACUGCUGCAUCAUGACCUUCAAAUUUAUAGAUAGGUGAUCCAACUCCACCACUUGUAAGAUUUCGACGAUCGAACAUGUUAAUUGUAUUAUCAGCAGAACUGAAUCCAAAGCAACAAAAAAUAUGAGGAUUCAAAAGGCAAAUAAACUGUUUCAGUAGCUAAAUAAAAGCACCUAAUUUCUAUUCUAAGUCAAACCCAUUAAAAGCAUUAAGAACUAAAAAGGAUAGCUUCAAAUAAAGAAAAAUCAGAGCUUAUUUCAUGUUCAUUCAAAUAGUCAGGGGCAGGGGAUACCCAGUCAGGAUAAAAUUUAUAUCAUGAGGACUCCAAUCAACACAAUGAAGAUAUCCAUUAUGCGCCUUGUCAACCUGCUUAAAAGAUAAACAUGGGGCAAAAAAAAAAAAGAAGGGAAAUGUAAGAAUAUUCAAAUCUAAAUUACUAAUGUUGCAUAAUAGUAAUUGAAAGAAAAAAAAAGUAUCAAACCCAAAUGACAAUAUAUAUAUGCACAAAAAAAAAACAGAUGGGAUUUAUGAAAAACCAUAUUUUCAAAUAUGCCAAAUAUUCAAAUGUAACAAAACCUCAAUUAAAAACAUAAGUUGUACUCAAGUCAUUUUCCUCUUAGAAUAAAUAUUAGUAAUAGUAACAAAAUUUAUGAGCAUUUGUACUGCCAAGGGUUAGGUUCAUUAUUCACAAGCCACCAAACUCUUUAUGCAAUUCAAAUUCCACAAGUGAUGGGAUGUUUGUGAUGGUGCCAAACUUAGAAUAUUUUUCUUAUCUCCUUGACUAAUUUUAGCUAUUACCAUUGGGUGUUUUGAAACAUGAAGAAAGCAACAAUAAUGUAGAUGAACUGAAGAAUUUAAACCUUAACAACUGGAGCAGAUCCAAGUCGUGCAUCCCAGAGUAUAAGGCGAGAAUCAUCACCUACACUACAGAACUCCUGUGCACUACAAUUCAGCGACAAAAAAGUGAAGGAAGUACAUCAGAAAACAACAAAAUAGAAAAGGAGAAAAACAAUAUGGAAAUAAGCAAGUCAAUCCAUUAAUAUUUGACAGAUAUCCAAAACAUAGUUUGAAAUUGAAAUUUGACAGUUCAAUCCAUUAUCAAUGGCGGAAGGCCAGAAUUCACCCAUAUAAGCACACUAUUCUGGCCUAAGGUGCAACCAUAGCAGGCCUCCCUUCACAAAUUGCCCAUGGCAGAGGGGAUCGAAAAACGCCAUGUUAGAGUUUUUUUUUUUUUUUUUUUGAUCAGCAAACGCCAUGUUAGAGUGUUAUGGCAGCACAAUAACAAUUAUUUAAAAACAUUGUAAGAAAUUUAAACUAAUGGAAAAUAAACUUGACAUCUUUUGUGAUGAGAAGGCAAUAAAAAGACUCCAACCUCCAGAAAGAAUAAAGGGUUCAGUUGGGCACAUAGCCAGAGCAAAUUCAGCAUUAUCCUUAUGACCAGUUAAUACCUACAAAAAGGUAUGGCUUAAUAUUUCAGGAGCCUGACUUAUGAAUAAAGGUGUGGAAGAACCAAAUUUUGUAAGAAAAAGAAUGUAUGAAAACAUACCAAGUCUGGACGAGAAGUGGUAGCCCCCAGAACAGCAUGACGAUUAGGUUGAGUUUCAACAUCCCAUAUAAGUACCUGUUUUACAAAAAAGAAAAUUAUAAUUCAGUUAUCAAACUUUGACUAGUUCAUUGACAGAAAAAUUGAGGAUAAAAAUUCAAAUACUAGACAUAACGAUAUUCUAAUUUGACAGUGAAAAGGAAACAUAAAAGGCAUUGCUUCACCUCAGGACAAUCCGUGUGAGUAGCUACUAUCUUACUGUUUUGCUGAAACUCCCUGAUUCUAUUCACCUGAAAAAGAAAAAAAAGUAACUAAACCCAAUGCUCAAGUAAAUUAUAAACAAACUUUGCAGACAGUAAAUAAAAUUUAAAAUAGCGCACUACAGUGGUGGAGCAGCCCCUGCCCACUACAGGGACUGUUGUAGCAGAACGGUAUAGUCUACCUCAGACCUCACUUGGUUGAAUAAUGUGUGUGAGUUGUUGUAAACUCCAGUUAACUUUGGGGCUGGCCACUACGGGCAGCUAUUUGAGAUUUAAAAAUACUGAUUAUAAAUGGCUGUGAUAAAGGUGAAAAGUGUGGUUCCCACCAUAACUAAGCCAGAAACAUACCUCGCCAGGAUGUAAUACAGUUUUGUACUUCUUGAAAAAGGGAGAGCGAGCUUCUUCAUUAAACUGGAAGAUUAAGACAGAAAGAAAGGUAAAUUAAGGGGGUAAGUAUUAAUUAUUAAUAAAUAAAUUAGAAACAUAAUAACAGUAAGAGAGGUGGUGACCUCUGCAGCAACCCUGGGUUUAACAAGAGUAUUGGGAACACUGCCAUCAGUCUGAGAAGAUAAGAAGAGAGUAAGUAAAAUUUGAAAUGAAAGGAAAGGAAAAGUAGUUAAAGAGCGACCUGUUCGGAAAGAUAGAGACGGUGACGGUUCCUGAAAGUGGCUUGCUCUAGCAGAGGACCCCAUCUGCCCUAAGAAGCCAAGGAGAGAACCUGCAAGAACCAGACACUUCCACUCUCUCUGUCUUCUGCCCAUUCAUUUCAUUUGUACUUCCACUUCCACUCGCCUCACAUUCUCCAAAGUUUUCGUACUCCAACUAUUAAGCAAAUCUAUUUUAUUUCAAUUUUUAAUAUAGAACAGUAAUAUUUGUAAAAAUGACAAAGUAGUAGUACUAUUAAAAUAAAAAAAAAAUACUUUAUCUAAUUUCUUUAAUAUAUAUUAUGAUAAUAUUUACUUAAAAUUUACACAAUAAUGUUGCUAAAAUAGAAAUUUGACAUAAAUGGUGUGAGAAAAAAACAUAUAAAUAAAUAUAAAAAUUAAUUAAAUGUACUAAUAAUAUAAAAAUAUGAUUAUUUAGAGUUUAAUAUUUAUACACUAUUGGUGUAAAAUAAUCUUAUAUUAUUAUUUAAUAAAAAAUUAUCAUUUAAACUACUUUAAAAUAAUUAUUUUAAAAAUUGUAAAACUUAUUAUAUAUAACGUUGGAGGUGAAUAAUUGAGUAUAUAAUUUUUUUUACGCUUUUAGUGAAUAACUUUUAUUAUUAUUUAAUGUAUGAUUAAAUUAUUAAUUUUUGUCAUUGUUCAAUUCACACUAGGAAGUAGGAAACACUAUCAAAAUUUGUAAAAAAAAAAAAUCCAUAUCCGUAAGCUCUCGGGUUCAAUCCCUAAUACUACUAGACAUUACCAAAAUCUUGUUAACAAUUUUGGUCGGGUUGAUUUUUAUAUUGUAUUAGUUAUUGUUGUAUAUUAUUAUUAUUAUUAUUCUGAUUAUUCUUAGUACGAGAAUGACGUAAUGCAAUAGUCUUCACCCUUUGACUUCACUAAGAUUUUAAUUGCGGACGGCUGGGUCCAUAAAAACAUGUCCAUACCAUACCAUGCAUAAAAAUGAGACCAUACCAUGCAUUAUUAUAUACAUUUUCAUCAAUUUCAUAAGAAUAUGUUAAAGAUAAUCAUCUGUUUGAAGGUUUCUGUUUCGAAUCCUAUGAAAAACCUAUCCUUAGAGAAGGGGAGGAUAAAUUGUUUUAGUAUUUCUUUUAUCAUAUAUUAAUAUAAAGUAUUCAUUGAUUUUAUUAAAGAUUAAUAUACGUCCAGAACUACUUUUAAUGAAUUUUCUCUUCUAGCUAUAUUUUGUUUUUCGUCUGUAAGUUUUGAAUUGGAAUUAGACCAACAGCACGAUACUGCUUUUAAUGCAUAUCUACAUAAUAAGUAUUAAAAUUGAAAAUUUUAAACAACAAUAAAAUUAUUAUUUAAUAGAAUAAUAGUUAUUUUUUUCUUUUAAAAAGAAUUAGGUGUUAUAAACUUCAAUCUGACGUUGAGAAUCAGAAGGGAAAAAAAAGAGUUAUUCAAUCAAAAUGUUGUUUCCAAAUUUAAAGAUGCAUAAAUUAGUCAAAAUGUAAGUGAUAUUUUUGUUACCACACAAGAAUUAUUUUCCAAAAAAACAAAGAAAAGUAAAAGUGUUUAACACCAAAAAAAAAAAGUGUUGUGUUGUAUGGCAGAAACAAGGGGAGGCAAAUGUAUUUCAUUAGGCAGAGACAGUUUGAAGGAUAGUUUAUCACGAAAACGAAAUGGCAAUGAUCCCUGUAAGAUGAGAGAUCGCACCUUCUCUUAACCUUUUUUCGUGCUUCAAAUCCAAAUCGCGAUACAUUCAAAUGGGUACGUCUCUUUCAUUUCCCUCAUUCAUGCAUGCAUUUUCUACGUAAAUAUACUCAUCAAAGCCUUCUAUAGUAACUCCUUUUUUUUUUUGUAAUUUCCGUUUAUUACAAUUGCCAUCAAAUAUUAAUGGUGUUAGUGGCUAGCUAUAACGGAUAACGAUAUUUUCAGUUAUUUAUUUAUAAACAUUUUUCCAGUUUUCAAGUUAAGAUUAGUUUGUUAUUAAUUGAUGUUGGUUUGAUUUGAUUAAUCUUGGCCAUUUGAUCCGUAACAUGGCAAAAUUAUACAUCUUUAUUGUUUAUACGUGAAAGUAAAAUGUUGAGGUGACACCUAAUUUAAUGUGUGCUUGAAAAUUGUACAAGUUUUGUGCUUCUAAUUUUUGUCUCAACUAAGAUUGAGUAUGUGCUUAUACAGCGAACAAUGAGAAAUGUUGUUCCACUCAACUUAUUGAUGGAGAUGGUGCCUUCAAUGUUGCCGGGAUUGAAAACUUCAUGAAAGAGGUUAAAUUAAGUGAGUGUGGGCUUUCCUAUGCCGUGGUUUCUAUUAUGGGUCCACAAAGUAGUGGUAUGCUUCGUGAUCUCAAUUUCGUUUCUUAUUAUUUUCAUAAGCUGAUUUGUUACCAGUCAAUUUGCACUUGAGGAUGUGUAUCUUAUUAAUAUAUAUAUUUUUACUUCAUACUGAAUGCUAGAGGUGAUUGUAUAUUAAGAUUGAUGGGAAUUGGGAAUAUAAAAUUGAUGUUUCGUGUUUGUGCCUUGUGUGUUACAGCUGACAAGUGAGCAAUAACUUAAAGUUGAUCUUUGGUAUAGGUUUAUGACUAAAUUACCUAUACAUAUACUAGUGAUUUCUAAUGAUUAAGUUCAACCACUUUGAUCCUUUUCUUAAUCCCCCCCUUUGAGAAUUUUAUCUUAUUGAUUUUAUUCUAUGAAGGGAUGCUUAAAUUGUUGACCUUUUUCUUUGGUUUGGACAGGCAAGAGCACGCUCUUAAAUAGUUUGUUUUGUACUAACUUCACAGAGAUGGAUGCAUUUAAGGGAAGGCAUGUUUCUACAACCCCCAUUCAUUCACUUCAACAGUCCAAUCUGGCUAUCACAAUUAACAAGGUGAACCUGAUAGGACGUGUUUGUUUUCAGGUCUCAAACAACCAGAGGAAUUUGGAUGGCUAGAUGUGUUGGGAUAGAGCCUUGUACACUUGUGAUGGAUUUGGAGGGUACUGAUGGAAGAGAACGUGGAGAGGUGGUUUUUUCUCACCUUAACUUUCCUUGACCAUUCCGGUCAUGAUCUAGAGUCUGUUGCCUUUUGCAUUUUUAUUUAUAUCAUAUCUUGGCAAUGCAUAUAUGUUAAUGUGUUUGUAGCCCCAGUGGAACACAGUACAUAAUACCUUUUUUAUGAUAAUUUGCAAUAUUCUUAUUUGCUCAUGAUUUUUGCGGGUAAUGUUUAAUUAUUUAUUUUUUCCUUGUGAAAUAAUACUUUAAAUUUUUGUUAGCAAUGCUAAAUGAGAGGAUUCAACUAUCUCUUAGUUUCAUUACAUUUAUGUAUUUUAGUAAGUUGACAAGAAUACAUAACUCUGCAAUCUUUCUGGUUUUGCAUUUGCACUAUAGUGGAUUAAUAAUAGUCAAUGAUACAGAACUUUUGGCUAUUCAAACAUGUAAUUAAUCUUCCAUUAGGAAAUAUUAGAACAAAGAGAAAUGAGAAAUGAUACUUCUGCCUUUGGUUGUUUCUCCAUUAUACUGAAAUCGUUUUCCCCCAGGAUGAUACUACAUUUGAAAAGCAGAGUGCUUUAUUUGCUUUGGCUAUUUCUGAUAUAGUGCUAAUAAACAUGUGAGUUCUUUUACGCUUCCUUCCUUUUAAUUAUUUUUAAUAUAGACUUAUGCUAAAAAAUUUAAAGUUAGUGUAAGCGUGUAACUGUUGUACUUCUUUGUUUUAAUGUUUUUUUUUAAGUCAAAUCUUCUUUCUUUGCGCAAUUGAUCUUUCCUCCCCUUUAUUAUUUGUAAAGGUGGUGUCAUGACAUUGGUCGCGAACAAGCUGCAAAUAAGCCGCUUUUAAAAACUGUGUUUCAGGUAUCAUUCAAUAACCUAUUGACUACAAGCAACAGUUUCCAAUCUAAAAAGUUGUUAUUUAUCUAAUUGCAUGCUUGUAUUUGCUUUCAGGUCAUGAUGAGAUUGUUUAGUCCACGCAAAACAACAAUGUUGUUUGUCAUACGUGAUAAGACAAAGGUGUGACAGCAAAAUGUUGCUGCUUGUUUUGAUAAUUCUAAAUAUUUUCCUGUAUUUCAUUUUUUAUUGUUUAUAUAUCUUUAUUUACUAUGUGGUUAACCUUUUCCUUUCGUAGACACCACUUGAAAAUUUAGAACCUGUUUUGAGAGAAGAUAUUCAGAAGGUAAUGCAGUGAUCUCACUUUUAUAUGAUGUUAUCAAAUAGGUAUCCAAUUUUUUUGUUAACCUUUAUUUCUCUACUUUUUACUUGGCAGAUAUGGGAUUCUGUUCCUAAACCAGAUGCUCACAAAGAAACCCCAUUAAGUGAAUUUUUCAUUGUAAUCACUUAACUUAUUAAUGUUCACUUACACAUAAUAGAGUUGUAUUGGACUUUUAUAGUACUAAUUCUUUGCACUUGGCUACAAAUGACCAGGUUGAAGUUGUUGCUCUUUCUAGUUUCGAAGAAAAGGAAGAACAAUUUAAGGAGCAGGUAUGAAUUAGUACUAGCUUCCUUUUGGUUUGCAUGUUGUUCGUAUUGAAUGAUCAAUUAUCAGCAUGGGUGGCUAAUGUCGCUUAGUGUGUGUAUUAGUUUAGCUUUCAUAGUGUAAAAAAAAGUUAGCCAUUUAAGUACUCUAAUUUGCAUAUAUUGUUGAUUCUGAUUAAUCUUAAAUGUAGGUUGCCAACUUGAGGCAACGAUUCUAUCAUUCUAUUGCUCCAGGUGGGCUUGCAGGGGAUCGGCGUGGAGUAGUUCCUGCUUCAGGCUUUUCUUUUAGUGCUCAAGAAAUCUGGAAAAUCAUUAAAGAGAACAAGGAUCUCGACCUUCCUGCACACAAGGUAAAUAUCUAGAGUUCUACUGCUUUUGUUUUACAUGUAUCUUGAUUUUAUUAAUUAUUAUGAUCCACCCACCUGUAGGUAAUGGUAGCUACUGUACGAUGUGAAGAAAUUGCUAACGAGAAAUAUGACCUUUUUGCUACAAAUAAGGUAUUUACAUUUCUAUUUUGUAUAGUUGUCCAACGCUUGACAAUCUUAAGUACUAAAGCCAUGGAAAUUACAUUGUGAUUAUAACUCAGGAUUGGUGUGAGUUGGAAGAGGCUGUGCAAUCUGGCCCUAUUUCUGAAUUUGGGAAAAAGCUCAAUUCACUCCUUAUUGCUUGUCUUUCUGAGUGAGUAUAGCUAAUUUUAUGAUAUUUCUUUUAUGGCUCAUUUAUUGAAUACCAUGCUGAUGCUAUAUUAUAACCCUGCUAACUUUGGUAGCUUUACAUUAUUUUUGUUUGGAAAUACUUGGUCUUUGCUUUGUUGAUUAGAUUGUCACUUUUUUUUUUAAUUAAAGACCAUUAUUAUUAUUAUACAAAAGAAGAAAUUAAGGCAAAGAAAAGAUGAUUACAAAGAAUUAGGAGGGCAGGAAAUCUUUAUUUAAACAUAUUAAAAGGAGAGAGUUACUUAUAAUGGCCUUUCCUUCAAAAAAGGGCUUUCCCUUUCUACAACUGAGCUACUGCUUAAUUUCCCCAAAGCUAGCAAUUCAAUAUGAAUCUCGUUCUACUAUUAAAGGUGAGCCUUAUUACUAACAGCACCAUACUAAUUCUAUAACUACUUUGUAACUAUUUCUUUAACUUCCAGGGACCUGUCAUGCAUGUUGUUGAAACAUUAUAUAUGAAAAUUACUUGAUGUGAACUGAAGGUAUAUUGAGAUAUUUUCUUUUACUCUAGGUAUGAUGCUGAAGCCAACUAUUUUGACGAAGGUGUGAGAUCUGCAAAACAAAAGCAACUUCAAGAAAAACUGUUUCAAGUAAUUAUUCUGAACUUCAUUUUUGUGCAAUCAUGAUUGUUUGACCUUUUCUUUUAUGUUAACAUAAAUGAAUUAGCCAGUGAUUAUCGAAAGAGAAACAAAAAUUGAUGAUGUUGAAAUAAUAAUGACUAGUUGAGAUAUUGAAUUGUCAUGUUUAUUUUUCUUAAAUGCUUUUGGAGAUUUGUGAUAAUUCUUAGAUUUAUAAUGUUGUUAUAUUUUCCUUAAUGCCUUUUCAAUUGGUAGCUUGUCCAACCAACAUUCCAAAUUGUGCUGGGACAUAUGAGGUCCGGAAUUUUGGAUAAGUUUAAGGAAGCAUUUGACAAGGCAUUGAAUGGAGGGGAAGGGUUUUCUUCUGCUGCCAAUAAGUGCAUAGAGAUUUAUAUGGCUCAGUUUGACGAAGGAUGUGCAGGUAUUGAGAAAUCUGUCUAUCCUUUUCUAUUAGACAUCAACAGAUUAAAGUUGAAUGCCCAAUAUCUUGGAAAGGAAAAGAGUGACCCAAAGAGAUGGAUAUACAUGAAGUUGAUUGUGUAUCAUUAUUAAAUUGGUGCUGAGAGCAUAAUUGCUAACUUUUUUGUUCAUUCCAAUAAUCUACUGAGAGAUUUAAACUUAUUUGUUGCAAGUAUGCAUCUAACUCACUUUAGUGAAUUACAAUUUGGCACUGAUAUAUUAUCCUUGCAGAUGUUGUUAUUGAAAUAGCAAACUGGGAUACAUCUAAAGUAAGGGAGAAGCUACAGCGUGAUAUUGAUGCACAUGUUGCAUCUGUACGAGCUUCUAAGAUGUCAGAACUUGUUUCAUCAUAUGAGGUACAUGUUUGAGAUUCAUGCUUCACAAAUUCUUGAGUGUAUUUGAGCUCAAUAGCACUUGUAAUAUUGCAGAUGAUAUAUGUUUGUGCCAAAUAGACCAAAUGAACAAUAUUUGAAAUCUUUUAGAUGGUUAUAUGAAAUCAGAACUAGAAAAGUUUCCACCAUAGUUACCGGGGAGAAAAUGUGUUGGUUGAUAGUUUGAUACAAUGUACUAAUGUCAAUAUUGUGCCUAUUAAUUAUAGCAAGUCAAAAUUUAUAUGGAGUUUGUCUGCUUUGUGACACUUGGUGGAAGUUUGCUGUGUUUCUAUAGAUGACUGGCUAACUUCGUGGGAAGUUUGUUGAUUAUAGUACUCUUGCAGGAAAAACUGAAAGAGGCCUUGUCUGCACCUGUUGAAACUCUAUUGGAUGCAGCUAAUAGUGAUACUUGGCCAUCAAUAAGGAAACUUCUUAAUCAUGAGACUCAAUCAGCUGUUUCUGGGUUCUGUGUUGAACUUAUCAGAUUUGAUGUGGAUGAACAAACAAAAAAGAGCAUGAUUGUGAGUUUAGAUGAUUAUGCAAAGGGUGUGAUAGAAGCCAAGGCUAGGGAAGAAGCUGGCAGAGUUCUAAUCCGUAUGAAGGACAGGUAUGAAACUUAUGCAACAUUUAAGUUGACUUGUUAGACUUGUUGAGUUUUGCUUUAGAGGCACUUAUCUUAAAUUUCAAAGCAGGUUUUUGACAUUGUUUAGUCAUGAUUCUGAUUCAAUGCCUCGUAUUUGGACGGGAAAAGAAGAUGUUCGAGCAAUCACCAAGUCUGCCCGCUCUUCGGUAUGACAUAUAAUUAAGAUUCACAUAUUGUUACCUGAGUUUGUAUUACAUUUGAGAUUAGAGAUACCUUUUUAACCAAAUUUAAUAAUUUACAGUGCUUGAAGUUGCUGUCUGUAAUGGCUGUAAUUCGCUUGGAUGAUGGUGAUGACAUUUAUAAUAUUGAGAAAACAUUAAUAGUUGCAUUAGCAGAUUCAUCAAGCAGUUCUGCUAAAGAUAAGAGCAUGACGGCAGUUAAGCCACUAGCUUCAAGCACUUGGGAUCAGGUGCAAUUUUAUUAUUGCUAUAUUAUAUUUGAUAAAUGAUAGAUCAGAAAUGCAAUCUAUGAAGAUAAUUAACUAGUAUAUCUCUUCCCUCUAUCUGAUACCAAAGUGAGAUAGGAACUAAUGGGGUGUGAGCGUAUGGAAAUUACACUAAGUGAAACAAAAAUGAACGCAUGCUGGUACAAACUUGAGCCCUAAUCAAAAGUUUGUACCAAAUUAUUGAACUUUGCUCCUCGAUAAUUAAUUGAGGAAUUCCGGCGAUCUUCACUCUAACAAUCUAUCACACAUCAUGCACAUGAACUUAAUUACUUCUUCCAAUUUCUUGAGUCUAAGAGCACCUCUAAUGGAUGUUCCAUAAAUGGAUUUCUUAAGUUAUUUUUUGUAGUCCCCAUACUAUUAUGUCAUUCUUAAUAAAUUCAUACACAAUUUUGUUUCAAUGAUAAUAAACUAAAAAAUUUUAAGAAACUUAUAUUUUUUUUAUACUUUCACUUAACUAUAGUUGAAAUAAAUUAAUUAAUUCAAAUUUUGACUUAUUACAUAAUCAAAGAUAAUGACAUGGAAGAAAAAACAUAAGGAUUGAAAAUACAUAAACUUACAUAAAAUUAAUUUUCAUUAUUUUGGUUUCCAAAACAUUUCCAAAUAUGUUUCAUUAAGUCUAAUCUUACCUCCAUUCUUGUAGAUACCAUUGAAACCUUUUUAUCCCAUGUGAUUGGGUACCCGUAGCUCCUAGACAUAACUCUUUACCAGUUUGGUACAAUUGUAUCAGAAGAAGUGAGCAAGAAAAUAGAAGAAUGAUAGAGAUUUUAUUAAGGAAAAGAAUGAUUAAUAGAUAUUUUAGGCUAAAGAAUGUUGUGUUUUGAUCUCCUGCAUGUUCUUAUAAUUUGAGUAUAUUUUAUAUUCUUGUCACUGAUCAUUUGUUCUAAUUAAUUUUCUCUGUAGGUACCGCCCUCUAAAACAUUGAUCACACCCGUCCAGUGUAAAUCCUUGUGGAGGCAAUUCAAGAUGGAGACAGAAUAUUGUGUCUCUCAGGCCAUUUCUGCACAGGCAUGAUGUUCUAUACAUUGUUUUUAUAAUUUUCAAGGUUCCUCUAUUUAUAGGAAAAUCUAUUAUUGAAAAAUUAUAAGAAAUGUGAAACCUAUGAAUUUCUUUUGCGGUCUUGAUUAGGUUCGUGUGUAAGGAUUACACGAUGAUUUGUUGAGAAGUGGACAUAAUUAGUAUGAUAAAACAUCAUGGAUGCAUAUUAUGUAGGCAUUUGAUUUCUGUCACUGAUCAAACAUUUUACUAACUUUUACUUAUUGAUGAUGUAGUUUAUUUUUAAUUUCAGGAAGCCAACAAUCGUAGCAGCAACUGGUUACCUCCUCCAUGGGCGAUUGUGGCUUUGAUUAUUCUUGGAUUUAAUGAAUUUAUGACACUUUUAAGGUGGAAGCCAACUUUACCCAUUUGAUAUCUUUCUAACCUUUUCCUUUGAAAGAAACAAGGCUCUAUUUAUAUUCGCUCUUAACUCUCCAUAUAUCUUCUCUGUAAUUUGUGUUUGAAUUGCAAUCAACUAUUGAAUGGGCCUUUUCAAGCCUAAAGAAAUUUCUUAACUUUUGUCCAACCGUCUAACUUAACUGGUCUCACCUAAAUUUGUUUUUCUUUAUGGCAGAAAUCCCUUGUAUUUAGGUGUCAUCUUCGUUGGCUAUCUUCUCAUUAAAGCCCUAUGGGCGCAGCUUGACAUUACGGGUGAAUUUCGCAAUGGAGCUGUGAGUAGCUUUUAUGAUUUGUUGUUCACUCCUUAAAACGUUGACUUGAUUUUUUUUAUAAGAAAUGUAACUUUUCUGAACUUCCCCUAAUAUUAGUUUUUGAAAAGAGAGGUUAAUCAACCAAUAGGCCCGCACUUAGGUGCUUGAUUACUUACAUUUUAUCAUUUAAAUUUAGAAUUAAAACAAACUGAAACUUGGGAACCAAAUGCCUUGUAAAAAACAGACCCCCAACUAAGGUUUACAUACUCCUAUAAGGAUUUCUUGAAACUAUUUCCCAACUACAGUUUACUUGCACUAAUCAAAAUUAUGUAUAAAUAACACAUGGUUUUCCAUAUGAUUUAUUUCCCAGAUAUGUUUAGUAUCCUAAUGUUUUCUUUUUCUUUCAGCUUCCAGGAAUCAUCUCCUUGUCUAGCAAGUUUGUUCCAACUAUCAUGAACCUUAUCAGAAAACUAGCAGAGGAGGGACAGGGCCAUGCAAAUAACGAUCCUAGGAGAAGUCCAUCAAAAAACAAUCAAAGUGCUAUUCCUGCUGGUAGAGUUACCUCAUCUAGUGCUUCAUCUAGUGUAACUUCACCGGGCAAUGGAGCCGAGUAUACGAGUUCAUCAAAACAUGAGUAGGUAAAGGUAGUCAUAUAUAUCUUACUUAAAAGCAAACUAUUCUGUUAGAAGAUGGUGGUUUCUGCAGGGUUUUUGCUAAUCCACGAAGUUUUUUACUCGUGAUCAUUUUUUAAGACAUUCAAAGGUAUUAAUUUUUAUGCGAGUGCUGCACACGAGGGCUGCGUUUUGUUUAGAGAUAUCUCGGUUCGAGUUGGGUUCUUUAGUUAAUUGGAGAACUUAGGUUAUUCUACAUGAUUUUGUGUGUAAGAGUUGAAUGUGUUCUGAAAGUUUAAAUGUUGGAGUCGUGUGUUUAUAUUAGAUUCUUAAGAUUUUGACUGAUGCAACUGCGUGUAAGAUCAUGUUUGCUACUUGUAAUGCUAACAAGGUUGAAAGUAAAGAUAGACUGCUUGCUUCAAUUAGCUUGUUUGACUUUGGACACUAAACAAUGUUUUGUAUUGUUUAGAAUUUUAGGAUGAUAUUUUGAUGGCAACAAAAAUGAGUGUCUGGUUAACAAGUAUGCAUAUAUACAUGCAAAUGGAUGACAUGUCGAUAGUGCUCGGUCAUGGUGCCAAUGAUCGGUUUGGUCCCUAGCUUGAAUGCCGUGCUGCAUAAUAACUUUCAAAACAUCAAGUCUUCUAUGAUGAGCCUCGGGAAAAUUAUCAAUAUAUAUAUAUAGCCGGAAAUAAAGAAAAAUGAUACUAGUACAUUCACAAAUUUUCGCAAAGACCUUUAAAUUCUGUCAGUUAUAAAAAGAUUUCAGUGAAGCUUGGUCGUUAUAAAUUUUAAUUCACACAAAAAAGGGCAAGGAUAUGAAGAGAUUUGUAUAUACUUUAUUAGCUCUCAAAUCAAAUUAAUGACAGUCACCCAAAAAGAGAAAAAGUAAUGGGAAAUAAUGAAUUCUGAAAAUUUGAUAAAUUUGUGAUCCAUAAACUUAAUUGCCAACCUAACGCCAAGAGGAUAAGCGAACACUCUUUUUUUUUUUGGCUCAACGCCAACUUUUGUAAGAAGACCCUUUUAAAAUGUGAUUGACAAAUAUUGAUGGGGACAACACAAGUAUACUAAUGUAGAAUAAGCAACCAAAUCGCAUAUAAUUUUUUAUUUUUUAUGUUACUUAUUUUAUGGUGGUGGAUGCACAACAUAAAUAGUUUGAAAGUAGCCUAGGAAAUUAUAUUGGGUAUGAGUCUAAUCAGACAAAAAGAAUUGUUGGUUGCUUUUUAUUGGAAAUUCGGCAUUCGUGGAGUUUAGUCAAAUUAAUAGUUUUUGUGUGUGUGUGUGUGUUAUCAUCCAAUUUAUUGAGUAAUAAUAUACUAAAACACAAAGCGUGUAUGAGCAAAUAAUUUAAUUAAAUUCUUGUUUCAAAAGUUAAUCAUAUAAGCACUCACGAUAAAUUGUUUUCAUAGUUGAAGAGGAAAUAUGAUUGAACAUUUUUCUUAUAAAUUUUAAGUUGCUUAUUAGUUAUCAUGAAAACUUUGAAAUGAACUAAAAAAACUUAGAUUAUAAAUUAUAUAUCUUCAUAACAUCUCUCUAAUACUUACCCAAAUAUUUAUUUCAUAAAAUAAGCUCAAAUAGGCUAUAAAUAAUUAUAAAAAUGAGGUUUCUUAGUACUGUAAAGCUGUUAAUAAAUUAGAGACAGAAGUCUUUCUUAGCAGUUACAUAGAUAACUGUUAGAGAAAGGAAGAUUUCUUUUAGGGAUCCUAAAAGAUAGUCACUAAAAAAAAAUUAUUUUUUUUAAACUCUUAAUAGUCUUACGAUGUAUCCCAUAAGAAAAUAUUAAAACUUUUAUUAUUCGUCUUUUGUUUUGUUCUAUUUCGUGAUUAUUUAUAAAAUUCAAUAUUUUUUAGCAAAUUAUUAGAUGAAGCGUACAUCGUAAUCUUAAUGAAGUAAAAUCUAAAGCUUAACUCCAUUGAUUUUUCAUCUCUGAAGCAGAGGUUAAAUACGUUCUAGUACAUUAGAAGUGUGACAUAGACAUAUUAUUAGAGUUUGCAAAAUUCUAUAUUUUCGGCCGGGAAGAAGAAUCGAUCCAACUACUAUGCUAGUAAUAACUCUACCACGCCCCCAUUUUCUCAUGGCAAUUUGUGUUUGGUUAAAGUGUUUUUUUUUUCAUUUUUUUUAAAAAAAAUAGAGAAUGAGUUUCAUCAAAAUUUAGAAAACAAAAAUAUUUUUUUUAAAAAAAGCUAAAAACUGAAAAUAAUAAAUCAAUGUCUUUAGUCUUGUGUGAAAAAGUGAAAAUGUGAUGAGAACAUAAUAAAUAUUUUUUUAAAAUUAAAAUAAACAUAUUUUCUAAAUCUUAAAAUUUUAAAAAAAAAUUAUUUGUAAAAAAAUAAUAAAAAAAAAACACUCAAAUCAAACAUCACCUUAAUCACCAUAAUUUUUAUGUCACACCUUGCAUGUAGCUAGCAUGCAUGUUCAAAUUAAUAAUUAUUAUGGUCAAUUUGGUGUGUCAGUGUAUAUGCAACCAAUAUAUUCAUAUCGUUUGCCUUUGGCUAGUGUUGAAAUAAAUGAAAUUAAUGCACCACGAAUCAUCAACCCCUUCAUCCUCUUGAAUUACUAACUUUAAUUUCCUUGCAGUAUAAGAUUUUUUUUUAUUGAAAAUGAUCACUUUCUCAUUGAUCAGUUUUUACUAUAUAUAUAUUAUUCCCUCCGUUCUUAUUAUAACUGGUAUAAAAAAUUAUUCCAAUAUAAUUGUUAAUUUAAUUAUUUAAUAUAACACUAAUUACUUUUUUAUUUAUUUCUCUUACGAUUAACUUCAAAAUUUAAAAAUGAAUUAAUUAUUACAUAUAAAAUUAAUUUUAUAAAAUUAUUAUUCUAUUUUAUCUGUUGAUUAUUAUUAUUUUUUUGAUUGAUCUGUUUAGAACAAUUAGGAUGAAUACUAUUUUAGGAUAGAGGGAUUACUCAUUAUUUUCUUCCAACCUUGUGCAGUUGUGCGUGGAGAUAGGACAUGUGUUGUGGAUUUGAUGUAGGUGCAAACAAACAGAUCUCUCCAUACCCAUGUUUUCAGAUGAAUUAGUAUAUAUUGUCUUCCUCACUUCGGAUAUAUUUAGAUAAAUCAUACUGCUACAUAGUCUACAUAAAUCAGAAGCCUUGACUAUUUCGGCUAGCUUUCAACUUAUAGUAGACACAAGGCACUGUAAGUCCUGAAGAAGCAAUUAAUGAAAACAAUAACACAAGGCAAUAAUUAGUAAUAUAUAUCCUUGCAUUUAUUAAUAAUACACGAGUUGCACAUCUUCUGGAAAAUAUUUGUACGAAUGGUUGUAUAUAUACUUUCCUCUACAUUAAUUUGUGCGUAAUUGUUAGGGGAGGAGGUGGCAUAAUAAAUAUUUGUCUUAAGCUUAUUGCAUCUAGCUAGCAAUUGCAGUUUGUACUACUAUGCUUCUGGAUUGAGAUUGAUCUUUUUAAUUUCUGUUUAAAUGCUUCUACGCAACCCAUAAUUAAUUAGAUGCAAACGUACGUACUAGUAUAUAUGAAGAUUGCAAUUUGCACAGUGAAGUGUACUUGUUUAAUUCGCUGAUCCAAAAUACCAAAUUAAUCUCCUAAUCGAAGGGCUUAAUUAUUUCAAACGCUCCAAGUAGAUCAACUAAUAUAAUGGGUCAUUCAUUGUCCAAUUUGUCUGGCAAUAUUAAUAUUACCAGUCAACCUGAUAAACAGAAUCACCAAACAAUACCGGCAAUGAUCAGAACAACAAAAUUUUCUACGUCGGAGUUGAGACACCUCAGCAUUAUAAAACUGUGACUUUUAUAGACUAUGUCUGAAUAAAAAUUGAAAACAUAUCUUUAUAUUUAUUUAUAAAAAUUCAAUGCACAUUCCUAAAUUUCAAAAUAUAAAAUUAAUAAGAAGAGAAAAGAUUACUGUUUUAACUUUUGAACACUAAUAUUUAAACGAAUACUUAAUUGGAGAUGUAAAUUUGACCAGCUGAUUGAAAAUGAGACUUAAGGAUAUAAAAAAGAAGAAAAUAUCACAAAUUCAAAUUCCUCCUAUUGACAUUUCUAAUAUACUACAAAGAGGUAAUAAUAUGAAACAAAACAAAGUGUAUUACAAUUUUUUAUUUUUAAAUUACAAAAUUAUAUAAAAAUUAGAAAAAAUAGAAUAUGGAGUUUACAUUAAAUUUUAUGGAGGAUAAAAAUAGUAGAAUACAUAAAAUAGAAAGACUGAAGUUGUAUUUUAUCCUAAAUUUUAAUCUAAAAGAUUAAUAUAUAAAAUAAACUAUACUCUACCUGGUACUUAUUAUAAGCUACUUUGAACAUCAAUGGCAAUACAAAUUAAUAAAACUAAUUAGUUGGGUUGAUUUAUUGAUUUUUUUUUAAAUAUUACUAAUGUAUCAAUUAUGUCCUUAUUAAUAAUCACAUUAACUUGUUAUGCAUGAUGUAAGAAUAUUAAAGUCCAAAACAAUUAUGUACUGCUAUUAUCAUCAAUAAAAAAACACUCAUACUUAAAAUAUUUAAUAAAAACAAAUAAUGGGAAAAAAUUAAAUAUUUUAUAGGAAUUUUAAAAUAUAUUACAAAAAGGACCAUCAAUUUUCUCUUAACUAUGCCUUAUAACAAAGAGAAGACCAAGUAUAAGUAUAAUUUUCAAUAAAAAAAAAGUCUAAAUAUAAUUAAAUUAAAAUUUAAAGAGGUCAAAAUAAAAGAUUUUAAUAUUUUUCUUCCAUAAACCAUAAAAGUAAGAAGAGAAAAGUAGUAAGUAUUUUAUAAUUAUUAAUCAAAUAAAAAUAAACAGCCAACCAAAAUACAGUGAGUGAAUAGAGAGAGAGGUUACAUAUAUUUGGUAGAAUAUUAAAUAUAGAGCUUUAUUGCUCUUGGCAGUGAGUGAGCUGUCUUGGUGUAAAAGUGGUGGAUCAGUCUGCAGAAGAUGUGAUCAAGCAAAUCCAACGGUCAGUUUCUUCACAAACUUUUUUGAAGUUCAUUUCCUCAUUAAAUGCCUUCUUCAGAUCGAUGUUGUUUCAGCCUUUCUUAACAAGCACGGGAGAUUUAAAUUCAUUGCUAGUAUUAAGUUGCAUCUUUGCUGCUCAUAUUAUUGCUUUUUGAGAAUUUAGUUCGUUUAUUUUUUUUCAAAUUUAAUCACUUUAUUAUGUUAAUUGUAAAAUUUUGAUUCAUUUGUUUUAACUUUAGUUUUGUAUGUAGUAUGCACGUACAGUAUUUACCAUCAAUACUAAUGUGACAGUAUACCGACAUAAUACUCUACUGUACUCUUGCAUCCAUUAAAUAGUGAAUAUAAAAUUAUCACAAAUACUAACAAGUGUCAUAAAGUAUUGAUUAAAAUAAUAAAGAUCCAGUUAUAGCAAAACUCUAAAUUUAACGAAUGAAACAAAAUUGUACAAUUAAAAUAAUAAAGAUCAAAAUUGUAAAAAAAUUAAUGAAAGAACCAAAUUCACGAUAUAAUAACAAUACUAUAUAUAAGGACCAAAUAUAUAUAUAUAUAUAUAUAUAUAUAUAUAUAUAUAUAUAUAUAUAUAUAUAUAUAUAUAUAUUAAGUAUUUCUUAUAUUUCAUGUUAUUUGUAGAAUAUAUACCUUUUUUUUUAACAAAAGUAUUAACUACAUAAAUAUUAUGAUUAAAUGAUUUUUUAUAAAAAUAUUUUCAUAAAAAGAAUAAAACUGAAAUAGUAAAUUCAUUUAAAUAAAAUAUUAGUACUAAAAAAUUAUUAGAGUUUUGUUGAGUUUUUUUACAAAAUAAAUAAUUAUAAUAAAAGUUAACAAAUUUACUAAUGACAACUAUAAUUAUCCCUACGCUCGAAUUAUUAAAUUACUGUAUUAUUGAUAGAAUUAAUUGAGUUAUAUUAUAUAUUUAAAUACGCAAUAAAUAUAAUAAAGUAUUGCGAUUGAUAAUUAGUUCUGGACUUCUGGUUUAGCAGUUGCGAUUAAUAUAUAAUAAAACUAGUUUAUAUCUAUUCACACAAAUUCAAUUUCUAGUCUCACAUACGUUAGAAAUAAGUUAGGUUGCGCUGGGACUAGGUGGUACAAGUCUACAAGACUUCAUCUUGACUGAGUUUAAAUUUAAAAUCUAGGUAUAUAUGACAUGCAUGCAUGCUUAUUUAAUAUAUUUUUUAACGUUUUGUUUGGCCUUUUCAAAAUUAUGAUUUAGCUUGAAAAACUUAUUUUGCAAUAAAGUCUUUUAAAUAAGCAAAAAAAAAAAUGUCUGAAUAAGUUAGUUAACGUAAGAAAAUUGACUUAAGCAUUUAAAUAAAAUAAUAAUUAUAUAACCUCAAAAUUUUACAUUAAAAUAUUAAUAAUAAUAAUAAUAAUAAUAACAAUAAUAAUAUAAACUUACAUCAAGAUUUUGUUAUUAUUAUAUUAUUUAUAUUCAUUUAAACAUGUUAGUUUAUUAAGUAUAAAAAAGUUUUAUAUAACUUAGAAUACUGUCUUUUUAAUUAAUUAAAUAGAUUUUAAAUAAAGUUUUAAUCUCACUUAUUUAGCCAAUAGGCCUAACCUGAGUUGGCAUAAUGUCUGAUAUAGACUAAAUUAUAGGCUCUCAAUGAAUUGAACAACCUCACAUGUUUUCAUCUCUAUUAACCAAGACUGCAUGGUUACCUAGCUAGUUGGUUUAUUGAUUGAACUAGAUGGUCUAAGUGAUUUUAAUAUUUUUAAUAAUCUUAUUUACAUAAUACAAGUUUUAUAAAUUAUAAAUAAACUAAUUUCUAUCAAUUAAACUAAAUUAUUUUUUAAAAAUUUAAAACUUUAAAUGCUUGUAUUUUUUAUUACCAACAAAAUAAACUUCUAUAAUUUAAACUGACAUUUUCUUAUAAUUUUGACUUUUCAUAUUUCAUCUCUAUUUAAUAAUAUUAAUGCAGUAUAAAUUAUACUUAUUAGUAUUUUUAAUUUCCAUCUUCCAUUUAAUUGUAAAUUUGCAUUAUUUUUAUUUUAUUUAAUUAGCAUAAAUUGUAAAGAAAAUCAAGAAUCUUAACUUGAGGAACAACGAGUCCUCAAAGAAACAGCUUGACAUUGAAUAGCAAUCGAACCGUUUAAGUAGAACUUUAAUGUCUAAUGGCGCCUUUCCGUAAGUCCUAGACCUUUAUUGUUUUGAGAAUUUUAUUAAAUCUACAAUUUUAUUUUAUUUUAAAAUAGAGAUAUUUAGUUUUUUAUUUUUAUAAAAUAUGUAAUUUUGAUUUUCCUUUAAAUUAAAAAUUUUAAUUAUUAAGAAAUUAACUAUGACAUAGAUUAAUGAAUUAUUUUGUGUCACAUUAUUUAAUUUGAGUCACAUCAAGUUAAUUUUUUAUUGUUUUUUUUAAUUUGAUGAAAUAAUAAAAAUUAUAUAUUUUAUAAAACUAAAAGAUUAAAUAUAUCUAUUUUAAAAUAAUGAAACUUUGUAGGAUUUAAAAAAAGAAUUAAAUAUUUUUAUUUUAAAAUAAAGAUCAAAAUUACAUAUUUUUAAAAAUAAAAGAACCAAAAAUAUAUUUAAAUCUUAUUUAAAAAAGAAAAAAAAGUGUGAAGCUAAUAUAUUAUUAAGAAGAAAAAAAAUUAUACACUAAUAAUAUAAAUAAUUUUCAACUAGUUAUAUAACCACAAAUAAUCAUAUAUAUAUAUAUAUAUAUAUAUAUAUAUAUAUAUAUAUAUAUAUAUAAAAUAAGUUUGAUAAUUUUUAUUAAAUUUAUCUUAAAAACUAUACUAAUAAUAUAAUAUAAGAUUGAGUGACAUUGUAAAAUUGUUAUGCACAUAAAAAUUAAUAUUGUUUAAUAUGUUUUUAUUUCUGAUAUAAUUUUUUAAAUACAUUUUAAUCAAUAAAAUACUAGUUAUGUAUUAGAAAAAAUAUAAGUGUAUUUCCUAGCUACACAUUUAUUGUAGAGAUAGGAUGUAUUUCGAGAAUAUUUAUAUGGUGCACACGCACAGAGAAAAGAAGGCCAACCAGAGGCAGCCAUUUAGAGGUUGAAGCAGCGGCUUCUUAGUGAGUGCUUUUCUGAGAUUCAAUGGCGUUCAUUGGUGCAGUCAAAUUCUUGCUGCAGUACUUAGUUCUAUUAUGCCUCCUCAACUAUCUACCUCUUUCUCAAGGUCAUCAUAUAUAUAUAUAUAUAUACCCUCAACUCAACGCCUUCUUAUUACUACUAUUCAUUUCCAUCUUGUGUACAACCUUCACACUAAUUUCCAAGUUCUGCUUCAUAGUAUAUAUAGUAUAUAUCGUAACAAUGACACAAAUCCAUCUCAAAACAAUUUUAUGUAUUAAAUAGUUAAUGAUUUGUGUUUUAUUUACAUAAUAAGAAUAGAAUAGAUCACAGUCAACAAAUGUUAAUUUACUUGUGUUUUAUUUACUCCUUUUUGUUAUGAUGAUCAACAAAUGUUACAUUAUUAUUAUCUAGCUAGGGAUAAGGGAUAAUCUUGAACAUGAAAAUUAAUAAAUAUAGUUGCUGCACUGCAGGUAAGCAGAACUGGAAUGAAGGGUACCCAUUUAUAAGAAGAGCAAGUUCAUUGGGUUAUAAUGGGAAAAGUGGAGGGUAUGAUUAUAUAAUAGUGGGGGGUGGAACAGCAGGGUGUCCAUUGGCUGCAACCCUGUCUCAGAAGUUCAAAGUUCUGCUGCUUGAAAGAGGAGGAGUCCCUUUCAACAACCCUAAUGUGUCAUUUCUGCACAACUUUCACAUUACAUUGGCAGACACUUCACCAACUUCGGCUUCUCAGUACUUCAUUUCAACAGAUGGAGUCCUCAAUGCAAGGGGAAGGGUUUUGGGUGGUGGCAGUUCCAUUAACGCUGGCUUCUACACUAGAGCAGACCCAAGGUAACAACUAACAACAAUCUCUUGCCUUCCAAUUUUAUUCCCCAUUUUUUAAAAGAAGAAAACGAGUCAAAUAUAUAUUAAAAACCUCUUAAAAAUUAAUAAGUUUAUUUUUUUUUAUAAAAAAGAGUAUAAUAAAUAGUUUUUUUUAAAAAAAUAUAGGUUGCUAUGAAAAAUUAAAGGUAAAUGAGCUUUGAGAAAAAUUGACUUCUUUUAAUGAAAAAAAUAAUUAUUUAAUGAUACUGUAAAAAUAUUUAAUACUAUUAGUGUAUAAGUAUUAAAUUAUCUUUUAAUUAGUUUUUUUAGUCUUUAUUUUGAAUUAUGAAGGUUGAAUGCAAUAUUGUAUGUUUCUUUUUUUUUUUUAAAUAAUUUCUAUAAAACUUGUACUUAACUUUAUUGUGCCACAUUUGAAUAUGAAAUUACGUAUUUUUUGAAAUAAAAAUAAAGGCAAACGAACUUUGAGAAAAUUUGACUUUUUUUAAUGAGAAAAAUAAUCGUUGAAUGAUAUUAUAAAAUUGUUUUAUACCGUUAGGAUAUAGGUAUUAAAUUUUCUUUUAAUUAGUUUUUUUAGUCUUUAUUAUUUUGAAUUAUGAAAGAUGAAUGCAAUAUUGUAUGUUUUUUUUUAUAAAAAAAACAAUUUCUAUAAAACUUGUACUUAACUUCAUUGUGCCAAAUUUAAAUAUGAAAUUACAUAUUUUUUGAAAUCAAGUAUUUUUUUUUAUAAAAAAACUCCGUUUAUGUUCAUUUUUUUUCUUUAUCAUUAUAUUGCAAGCUUAUGUACGUUGGAUAUUUUUUUUCCUCAUUUUUGUUUUAAGUGCAAAUGUGCAAUGCAUAUAUAGUUGACGCAUUAAAUAAAAUCGAUGGCGAGAUUUAAUUGAUUAACAAUCAUUAUUUUCUAUCUAUAUGGGAAAUUUUUUUAGUAUUACUCGCUUGCAUAGAAGGCUCAAUUUUACACUUGUCCAGUCGUCUGCUUUCAACCAUCAAGUACAAACAUCUUGAAUCCAUUUAUGUUUACGUGCAAACAUCAUUUUACUCAACUUAAAUAAUGGAUGCUUUUUCCUCCAUUUUCCCUUUCUCUUUCAUUAUCAUUAUUAUUAGGUUUUGUUGCUGAUUAUUGUUUCCAAAAGAAAUUGUGUAGUGGGGUUAACAUUUUGUAUGCUACCUAACAGAAAACAAAAGGCACAUAGCUAUGUAACCCUUUCAAGUUACCUAAUACCUAUAAUUAUUAAAUAGUGGACCAAAGUGAAGGCAGAAGAUCAGAUGGCAUUGACGACACUACUUCCCCAAAGCAGGCUCAAUUGGAAACCAUUUUGAAUAAAUAGUGAAGUUUGAAAACUUUUAUCUUAAGAGCAAGUUUUAAAUUUAAUAUAAAAUUCUUAACCUAACAUAACAAUUAGUAUAUUUUUAUUACUUCUAGUUCAACCAAUUUGUAAAAAUAAAGCUGUGCUUUGUUAACAUUUUUUUUUAUAGAAAAUUACGUUGUAAUUUCUUAAAUGGGAGUUUGAGGCUCCCUCAGCAAAUCCGAAAAUAUGCUCUAAGCUGAAUCCUGUCCAUUUAUAUUCAUGAUAAGACUACAUCUUUUUUUUUUUUUUUUUCUAGUGAAGGAUAUUUCAUCAAUUAAAUGCUCCUUGUGCGUUCCUUCAUAACCCUAUUUUAUGCCAUGGAAGUGGUUAGGUAAGAAUGUCAGAUCUUAGGAAAAGGAAGGGUGGAAAAAGCGACCACACACACAAUGUCAUUCAAUUUGUGUUUAGGUGGUUUUAUUUUUCGGUAAAAUCAUUAAAGUGCUCGUUGGAUCUCUGGUCCUUUGCCCUGUGGUGGUCCUAUACUCCUAUUCUAACCCUUGUAAUAGGUAGAUAAAUUCACAAAUUGCAAACGACAAUUAAACUGUUUCCACUGAUUUAGCAACGGAUGCAGUCAAAUUAUGAGUGUUGCUGUUUGAUGUUACAUGGACCAGUCAAUGCUAUUUAAUAUUUAGGGAGAAAAAGAGAGAAAUACAAGUGAUAUAUAUUAAUUAAUAUAUUAAUACAAAAGAAGUAAAAAUAAUAAAUGUUAAUAGUGUUUAUAAUAUAGAAGUGUUAAUGUAUCAUUACUGUUGGUCAUCAAUUGGAAAUAUAGUGUGGGUGCUUUGUUACUCCUUGACUCCUUUUUUUUUUUUGUCAUAGACUUUUAAAAGUUAAAUUUUUUUUUCAUAACAUAAAAAAAAUUAUAAAUAUUUUUAAAAUAAUUUUUUUUUACCAAAAUUUGAAACUAAAACACAUCAUUUAUGAUUGUUCUUGCAGGUAAUUCUUGACUUAUACAUAAUAUCCUAGAACUUGUAAAUAGUAUUAAAGAUAAACUAUAUUUUAUGAAUAAAAGCUAAAGAAUAAUUGUGCCUAAUAAAUAAUGAGUGAUUUUAUUGAUAUGGAAGGUUGACACGUUUCUCAAUGUGUAUUUUGUAUAUUUUGUAGAAAGAAUUGAGUAAAAAACUAUAAAAUUAAAUAUAAUUGUUUUUUAUAUAAUUUAUUUAUUGUUAUGAUAUCUUUCACUUUUUUAAAUAGGUAGGAAGAAUUUUUUCCCCACUUUUUCCAUCUUAUUUCUACCCAUCUAAAUAACACAUUUUUUCUAUUCUAUUUUUUUCUUGUUAUUUUUCACUUUUAUGUUUUUUUUUUCUCCUUAUUUCACUUAUAUAUGUUGCAAACAACCGUUAGUGACCAAGAGACUAAUUAAAAAAAUAAAAGUGAUUCUUUUAUUAAAAAACACACACACAUAUAUAUACACUUUAUAUAAAAAUAUAAAAUAUUUAUUCAUUAUUUUUCAAAUAAUUUAAAAUAUUUAAAAAAUAUAUUAAAUAAUUUUCCUCAUGUCUUUAAUGUAAGUAUUGUUUUCAAAGAUUAAGAGUAUCUUAAAUUCUAAAAAAUAUAUACCAUAGAUUUAAAUUAUGUCAAUGUUUUGUUUCUUAAAAAAAAAAUAGAAUAGUUAGUAAACACUAAUUUAGAGCGAGCAGGAUAAUUGUAAAAAAGAUAAUAAACAUUUUAAACUACUACCAAACUUUGUAAGCAAGACAAAUAAGUAAAACAUUAACAUUUUGUAUAAUAAAAUGCAGAUUUAUAAGGAAGGUGGGGUGGGAUACAAAGCUAGUGAAUGAGUCAUAUCCUUGGGUUGAGAAGCAGAUUGUUCACCGGCCAAAGUUUUCAGAUUGGCAGAGAGCAGUUAGGGACGGGCUUCUAGCAGCUGGUGUGUCUCCUUUCAAUGGCUUCACCUAUGAUCACAAGUACGGAACCAAAGUUGGUGGAACCAUUUUUGACAGAUUUGGCCGUCGCCACACAGCUGCUGAAUUGCUUGCUUCUGCCAACCCUCACAAACUUACUGUUUUGAUCCAUGCCACUGUCCAAAACAUUGUUUUUGAUACAACAGGUAUGUAUAUAUAACUAACAUUUUUAUAAUCAAAUUCAUGGUCAUGGGAGUAUAUCCUUUUCUGUGAAUUUUCAUAUUGGAGAAUUAGUGUGAGUUUGAAUUGAAUUAGGUUUUUUUUUUUUGUAUGGAUGAAUUGAAUUAUUUUUUGUGAUUAUUUCAGUAUUUGAUUAUGGAUAUUAUUGAUUAUCAUUAUAAUCAAUUUAUAAAAUAAAUUUUAUAUUUAAAUAUAUUACAUAAAAAUGAUUUUAAGACAAUUUAUGCCGUUUAAAUUAUUUAAAAGAACCGUUUUUAUAAAAAAAAUUACAAAAAAUUAUGAAAUUAGCUAAUUUUAUAUUUUAUAUUUAAAAUAAUCAAUUGUUGAACAUAAAUGAAAAAACAAAAAGUUCCCUAAAUGAAAGUUUAACACUUUAGGCCCUUAUAAGUGGGUUACAAUCACAUACAUGAGUGAAAAUGGUGAUGCUAUUGUUGCAGGAAAAAGACCAAAAGCUACCGGGGUUAUUUUCAAGGAUGAAAAUGGGAAGCAGCAUGAGGCGUAUCUAGGAAAUGACAGGCAGAGUGAGGUGAUUGUGUCUAGUGGGGCACUUGGGACUCCUCAAUUGCUAUUGCUGAGUGGAAUUGGCCCAAAAGCAGAGCUUCAGAAAUUGAACAUCCCUGUGGUGCUUGACAACCAAUUUGUUGGGAAAGGCAUGGCUGAUAACCCCAUGAACACAAUUUUUGUUCCUUCCAAAAGAUCAGUUCAGCAGUCACUCAUAGAAACUGUUGGUAUUACCAAUUUGGGUGUCUACAUUGAGACCAGCAGUGGGUUUGGCCAGUCCAAAGACAGCAUUCACUGCCACCAUGGUAUCUUGUCAGCUGAGGUAUGCUAUUUAUUCACUAAAUUUACUUAUUGUAUUUGUGGGUACAAAAUUACAAAUACUGUUAGAGACUUAAAGCACAUUGGAAUGCUUAACAAUUGGGUGUUAUUGCAAGUUAUUAUUUCCUAUUAGAACAUGUUUAUCCAUGCAAUUAAAAAAGACUUGCAUAGUUUUCUCUCAAAAUUUAUGUGUGUAGCAUGUCUCUUGACAGACAACAAUUGCUUAUACAAGUAACUUUCUCUUUUUAAUGCAAUCUUUUCUAGUUCUCUUCCUUAUAAUUUACUAUGUAGUAGUAGCUUAAUUUUAGGUAACUCCUCCUAAAGAUGCUCUUAGUAUCUAAAUUCCAUUUAAAUUAAUCAUAACCAAAAAACACUAAGCAAAACUAACUAGAAAUUGAUCUGAAUUAUGAAAUUGCAUAUAUCAUAACAAGGUCCCUAGAGCAAUACUGAGCAUUAAACAUAAUCCAGAAACAUGCAUAGUAAAUUAGCAGCCAAUAAGCAAUAUCUAUCAGAAUUCAAUUUUUCUUUUUAACACGAUAAACCAGAUUGGACAGUUGUCCACAAUUCCACCAAAGCAAAGAUCACAAGAAGCUGUUAAAGCUUAUGUGAAGAGCAAGAGAGACAUACCAGUUGAAGCAUUCAGGGGAGGGUUCAUAUUGUCAAAAGUUGCGAACCCUUGGUCAACAGGUGAGCUCAAGUUGAAAAACACCAACGUGGAGGACAACCCUGCUGUUACCUUCAACUACUUCAGCCACCCUUAUGAUCUUAGGCGCUGUGUGGAGGGUAUUCGCUUGGCGAUAAAGGUUGUCCAGUCAGAACACGUCACAAACUACACUUUGUGUGAGAGAGAAACUGCAGAGAAAAUGCUUAACCUCAGUGUGAAGGCCAAUAUCAACCUCAUUCCCAAGCGCCCCAAUGACACAAAGUCAGUAGAACAGUUUUGUAGAGACUCCGUGAUCACUAUUUGGCACUACCAUGGUGGGUGCCAUGUGGGGAAGGUGGUUAACUCUGAGCAUAAGGUUCUUGGUGUUGAUAGACUCCGUGUGGUUGAUGGCUCAACAUUUUCUGAGUCACCAGGAACCAACCCUCAAGCUACUGUGAUGAUGAUGGGCAGGUAUGUACAUAUAUAGAACAUAACACUGAGUAAACAUCUUUGGAUUAACUUUGUUACCAACUUACUAUAUAUAGAAGUUAGGGCGCCAAAUUACUAAUAAAUAAGUAAAGUUUAAGGUUCUUUAUAGUUGCAACAUUUUUAUAUUUCGGUCUUGUACAUUGAAAUUAGACGUUUUAGUUCUUAGAUAUGCAUUUUUAAUUUGGUUUAGCUGUUAAGUGUGAUGAUGAUGGGCAGGUUUGUGCAUAGAACAUAAAACACUGAGUAAACAUGUUUCGAUUAACUUUGUUACCAACCUACUAUAGAAGUUAGGGUGCCAAAUACCAAAUAAUAAGGUUUAAGGUUCUUUAUAGUUGCAACAUUUUUAUAUUUCGGUCUUGUACAUAGAAAUUAGACAUUUUAGUUCACUUAGAUAUACAUUUUAAAUUUGGUUUAGCUGUUAAAUGUGUCUUAGUUCCAUCAGAUAAAACUGCCGCGAAUUUUUUGGCAGUUUAAACCCUCCAAAAAAUAUACUUUUAACAACAAAUUUGUGACAGUUUUACUUUACCAAUUUCUUUUUGUGGUGAUUUUAUCUAACAAAGUUGAGACACACUUAACAGUAAGGAUUAAAGCAGAAUUAAAACUGCAUAUGUAAAUAUUAAAACGUCUAGUUUCUAGAUAUAGUAACCAAAACGUAAAAAAAGGUGCAAGUAUAAAGACAAAAUUUGAAAAACAAAUAUAAAGAUCAAAUUUGUAAUUAAAUCAAAUAAUAAUCUUCACCUUGUAUAAGCUAACAAUAUAUUCAUGUUUUUCACAGGUACAUGGGACUGAAGAUUUUAAGGGACAGGUUGGGAAAAUUGGCUGGUAUUUAAGGAUGUGUGUAAUAUGAAAGUUAUCUCAACAAAAAUGAAAAAAAAAGGUGUAAUUCGAAGACAUGAAGAACUAUAUUAGUUAUAGCCCGUGGGACUGGAAAUUGAUGUAUUUUAUUUGUUAAUUGUCAGUGAAGAGUGAUUGUUCAAUUAUCAAGUAAGUUUUGGUUUUUCUAAACGGAAAAGUUGUUGCAUCUCCUCAAGGCCGGGUUUAAACUUAAACCCAUUUCUGUAAAGACGAGUUUUAGCGUGCCACAGUUAGGUGUUAAAAAUAAUAUAUUACUUGUUGUUCGCCUUAAAAAUAAAACGGGAAAUUGUAAGGAUCAAUGACGUGGUGAUGAUAUACUAUGUAGCAAGAAAGAGAGGAAAAAAAAAAUAGUUUCACACAUAUUUCAAUCAAAUGCAAAAUAUGACACCUUUAACUUACGAAUAACGCACGUAACUUUAUCCCUAUUAGAAUACUGACUCCGCUAACUUAUAUUUAAUUAUAAAUUAUUUCUUUAUCAAUAUUUAGAUACCACAAUAACUUUUGCAUGCAAAUAUGUUCUUACCAAAAUUAGAAGCUAGGACAUAGAUGUGACCAAAGUAAACUUCAGGACUUCACACACGUUAGUUUUGAGGAUGAGCUUUGUUGAAAGAACAAAAAGAGAAACUUGUAAAAACAAAUGACUUCUAAGACUCAAGUAAGAGUAAGAAUAUGAGUAAGGAAAAAUAAACAAAUAUAUGCAUAUGAGAGCAAGUAUACAUAAACUCGAUGUGUGAGCGAAUGUAAAUGUGUUGAGGAUUCGAUGAAACCUGAUACUUACAAGGGUGGAGUAUAAUUGCGGGUCCUUGUGUUGUAGGGGUUAUUAUAGUCUUUGUAAAUAAUUUUUGGCUUAUAGAUAAUGUUAGAAAUAAACUAUAGUUUAGAAAUGAAAGCUAGUAAAUAAAUGUACCUUGUAGAUAAUGUGUGACUUUAUAGAUAAUUAGUUACAUUCAAUAAGAUAUUCGAAUAUUAAUAUGUUAAAAAUAACCUAUCAGGUAUAGAGCUCGAGUGCUAAACACUUUUAUCCGCGCUCCAACUGACGUGGAAGAGGAUAGACGUGUCUUAAAAUAUCACUUAGGAUAACGCAUAUUUGUGAGCCCAAUACAACAUAUCUUACUCAUUUUAUUGAGGAUUCUAAUAAAGUCAAUACAUUUCACUCGAACAAAAUACUAUCUAAAAGUAAUGCUUUAAUACAUUUGCUUACCAUGGUGUAAAACAUAAAUCGGUAUGAUAGCUGAUGAUGAAUCUUAACAUGAAGAAAAUCGACGAACUCAUUCCCAUUCAAUAUUUUGUUUUUUAAAACACAAGUUUGUGCUGGGAAAAAAACAAGAAAUUGAAAGGGAAAGAGUUCGUCAAAUUUAUUCUUGUUGACAUUUUUCAUAAACCCAUUGAGAUGUUGCAUGAUCCCUGCAAGUGUGCAUAUUUAAAUUUAAUUAUCAUUAGUAUUUUAUCAACCUCAAUGUCUCUCCAUGAAAACUAGUUUUCCAACCAUGAUUGUGAGAAUUUCAACAUGCAACAACAACUAAAAACUAUUUUUUAUACCAACUAGAGCAAAAUAAAAGAUAAAAUAAAAUAAACAGGUUAAGUUGAGCUAAGAAAACAUUUUGAAUUUAUUGGAAACAAAAUUAUAUAUCUAAAGUUACAUCAGUAUAAAGUAUUCAUAAGUCUUUUCUAUUUUUAACUCUAUUUCAGAUUCUCAAUUUAAUAAUCCUAACCAAGAUAUUAAUUGCUUAUUACUAAAAUAUAUAACGUUUAUCUUUAAUUAAGAUUCUUGAAUUAAAAUGUUAAUUAGAAGCACAUGAUGAAAAACCAAAACAAACGAUAAUAAUAACAAUAUAAUAAAAUCAAUUACAACAAAUUAAUUUACCCUAAUUGAAACAAUCCUAACUACAGUACUAGUUACAGUAAUGAUAAUAAUGAAUUUUAUAAAUUAAUUUGUGAUCGAUGUGACGAUGCAUCAUGAAAAUAAAUUAAACAAUUUCACGUAUAUCGCAACCAAGAAAAUGUAGCUUAGAUCAACGAGAAGGAAAGAAUCGAAAACUAGCUUCACACAUAAUAAUAGAGCAAUGCAUAUAUCAAAGAUUUUAAAGAAGACAAUUAACAAAAGAAAAGAUCAAUGAAAGAAUAGAAUACCACGUGAAGGUGAAGCCUAAUGGCCGUUCUUGAUAUCAUUGCUUUGCCUUUCUCAACUCGUUCAGGCCAUUCUUGAAGAAUAUGGGGGGAAGAAGAAGCGGUGAGUUUCUAAGUUAAUUUGGUCCUUCCCUUUUCAUCAAUAUAUAUUACUGAAAUACAUGAAAAUUAGCUUUCUACGUAAGCAAAAUUAUUAGGUUGAGCUAAUAGAUAGUUAUCUUUUUUAUAAAUGUAUAUACUACUCGCCACAUCACUAAUAUGUAGCCUAUAUACAAAUUCAAAAUAAUACAGCAUAAAUAAUCAAAAUCGAAUUAUCAGCAAAAACAGUUAUAAUUAAAUUGAAAAAAACAUUUUAAAUUUAAAUUUAAAACUGUUAAGAGAAAGUUGAGAUCAGGGGCUCGCAUUCCUCAAGUGGGUGGGGGUGGAAAAAAGGUUUUAAGAAGUUUUUUAGUGUGAGAGAAAGGGGAGAGGCCAUUGAAAACUUGAGUAUUUCCACCAUAUCCGGUUCUUUAGCAGGUCUCCUCUUCAUCCUUAGUGACUAGGUCAUCAAGAAUUAUAUAUACUUAAACUUUUUCAUCUUUUUCGGCUUCUCUCUUAAUCCAAGAUUUGAAGUUCUGAAAAAAAAAGUAUAUGUCAUCAUGUACAGGCUGAUUAUGUGUGUGAAACGGUCAGAAGCUAAGUACACAGACAUUGUCACUUUUUGUUGUAGAAUUUUAGGUUCUUAAAUCAUUUUUUUGGGUGAUGCCACAUAGAAAGUAAUUUAUUUUACUUUUUUUACUCUAAUGAUAGAUUUCUAUUUGAGUUCUUGAAACAUUUUUUUGGAUUUCAUAAUGAAUCUCAUUUAAAUAUUUUUUAUGAAUUAGUUAGGGAAAGAGAUACUAAAAACAUAUUUUUUUCUUUUAAAAAAAAGAAUAGUUCUUGAAUUUUUUUUUCCUAAAAUCCAACUCUCAUGCUAGAAAACUUAAAAGCAUGAUAGAUCUGUGAAAAAAAAAUUCUUGAAGUCAAAAACUCAGAUUAAAAGUUAUAACAUAAAGAAACAUUGAGGCAGCUAGUGAGGUUCUAACUGAGGCGCGUCUAUUGCCGGUUGAAAACUAUUUCCAAACCUCCUCUUAGGCAUGUUUUUGUGGACCAUGCCACGCACGGUUUAAAUAUUUUUGAACUGCUUUGUGGAACAGGUGUAAAAGAUUAAAGAGAUUAGUACCCUAUGUUUGCUUGUAUUAUCCAAAGCCUCACCGAGGAAAUACUGAAUAAUCUGCUUUGACAAUCUAAAUUGUUGAUUUCUUUCUGUUGUGCAUAUUUGCUUGUCAGCCGGCAGCUAUUCCAUUGCAUAUGAAGCACAUUGUGCAAGAUCCAAGAGUGAGUCGAAAAAACUAAAUUUGAUUUACAUAUAAUUUGUAUAGUUAAUUUAUAACUUUUCACACUAUGAUGUAUCCUUUAUAUAUAUAUAUAUAAAUUUUUUUUUACAGAAAUGUAUCCUUUAUCAUACAAGAAUAAGAAAAAAAAAUAUUAAUCAAUAAAUCUGAUAAAAAAAAUACUCACAAUUAGAAUACACAAGUCAUGUGUCUUUUUAACCAAUCAUGUAACUUUAACAAAGUUUGCAUAGAGUUUUAAAAUAUUAGAGAAUUUAAAAUACAAAGUAAUUUAAAUGAAGGAGAUCAAAUUUCAUUCAAUUGCAAAAUAAUCUAUUUGGGUUAUUGAUUUUAUUUGGAUCAUUUGGUUGAUAUCUACUUGUCAUCCUUUCAAAACUCAAAAUUGAUUCGUCUUCACUAUAUCCUUCUACCUGAGAAACUUCUUCAACCAUGACGGUCCAAGAUUCUAACUAGUGCAUUAUUCUCAUUGAUGGACCGAAGACCAAGCAUUAGUCAUGUUUGAAGCUUUGCAACCCUGAUAGCUUUGACAGCAAGGAGGCAUGACACCACCACGUUGAGGGAUUCUUGUCGACGGUGGUGGUGAGGAUGUCAGAACUUGUACAUCCGUGAAGCAUACCUGCUGGCAGCAAUCAAUGCUUCCCAUGUCCGUCAGAGUCCCAUAGCGAAGGAUGCUCAAGCGUUGAGUUUUCAACUUGUGCCCUCAUCCCGGUUCUCCGAUGAGUUUCCGGUUGCAGGAGGUCAUUGAAAAUCAAUCUCGUAGAGUAAUCUUCUGUCGUCAAUAAGCUACGAAAUCGAGAGGAAAGGAGUGCGUGGUGUGUAAUGGAAAUUUAAAAUCCCACCUAUUUUAAUGGAAUUGUAAAUACCUCAUUUUAACAAAGGACCAUGGAGAAUUUAUGAAAUUCUAAAAGUAAAUAUCUAAACAAAGCAUUUUCCUGAGUAUCAAUUGAAAUGUCGUAAAAGAAUUACAUUAUCUUUUUUAAAUAUUUUAUCCAAACACACAGUAACUCUUUAUUAUCAAUGUAUAAUUUGUAUGACCAAUAUAAAAUGACUUUCUCACUCUAUAUUUUCCCCACAUAAAAAUAAUAGUAUAGUUCUGACUUCUGAAGUUGAAAUUGAAGAGGUGUAACUAGUCAUAUAAAAGUGGUUUUACUGAACAAAUAAGUUUGUUCUAUCCUUAAUGUAUUUUCGAUUUUUUUUUUGUGUGGUGAAUUAAGGUAUUUUUUAUCGGAGCACGUUAAAUUGAAUGAAACUAUCAGCUUGAGCCUUACGUCUUGUCACACUUCUUGACAGUGGUCAUUCUCUAAUCUCCUUCUCUUUAUAUAAAACAUUUUUUUUAAAAAAAUAAGUUGUGAGAAAAAUGGGAACUAUUUCCAUUUGAUCAAUAAGAUCUGUGAGGAAAACUAUAUGAAACAUAUAGAAAGAUUAAGAUUUGCCAUCUCAACCAUUUCAGUUUGCAUUACUAACUUUUUUUUAACACCUAACAAUAACUCUACCAAAAAAAUUGUAUAUUACAUUUUUAGUUAAGAAACUGCUAACAAAAUGUCUUCAGUUAAAGAUUUUUUUUAAAAAAAUAUUAAUAUUUUUUUAAUAAUUAAGUGAUAUCAAAUAAAAGAUACUAACAAAAUUAAGAUCCUAAUUAAACUAACAGAAACUAUCAACUUAGUCUACAUCAAUAAUAGUGCUCCAAUAGCUUAAACUGAAACCGGUGAUAAUGUAAGGAUAUUAAAAUUUGGAUUAUCCAUUUCACAUGAUAGCUGGUGUAUGUUUGCCAUGUCUUCCAAAAUCAAAGCUUGUUAGUCAUGUAAUGUCACCAAAAUAUUUGUGAUGCAACCCGCACAUUCCGCAUGUGUCUCUGAAGCAAAUGUAUUGCCACCAAUAUUGUGUGUGCAGGCAAUAACAUUAUUGUUCCUCAUCACUUGGACAUGACAUUAGCAUCGUACUUGGAUAACCAUUAUCAGGUCUUUGACUCCAAACGGUCAGCUUUGGAUCUAGAAGAAUUGGAUUAUUGAAUACUCGGGCAUUAUGGGAUUGGAUGUCUGCCAUUAACAAAGAAAACCAAAGUUAGUUAAAUCUUGCCCAAUGUGAAUUUUGACCAUUCAAAAAAGAAAAUAAUGGGAAUGGUUAUUUACCCAGUGUUGUGAAGUUGAAUUGAGAAGUCCACGACACCUUGGUCUAAUAAAGGGCAUAAAACAAAAAAAGGACAUUUACACUCGUAGCUUGACUUGCCUCAUUGCACUCUUAGCUACAAGGAAGGUAUUACAUCUAAGUGCAUCCAAUUCAAUACUAAGUACUAAUAUUGCAGAGCCCUCCAAUAAUCAAGGGCUCUUCCAAAAAUAGGCGUAUGCCGCUUUAAGUGAAGAACACACGGUAUUCUUUAGUAAAAGGCGAAAGAAUAGUUCGCUCUGUGUUCAUCACACGGCUCCGUAAGUAAUGAGCUAACAGCCCUUUCCUUUUAUUGUAUAACCAGUUCACUUGCUAUUACAAUACCAGUCGAUGUGGGCUUUGGUCAGAAAUGUAAACUCAGGCAAGGCUCCCACACUGUUAAUAUCAUGAAGAUAGGGAAUCAAUGAAAAAUGGAAUAUCUCCAGGAGCCUUUUGUUCUUCUUCAUAGCUUCUGAUGGUGUUUUUUAGGUUAUUUACUGUAGUUGUAAUUUUUGCUCUCUAUCAGAAUCAGUGUAAAUGUGUAAUAGAAUCCUCUAUGCUUCUAUAGGAUGACAUUUUCAGCCGCUACAGUGGAAGCCUGAACCUGUUGAUGCUCAUGCCGAGUUUGAGCGUGAAUGUAGCUCGUUUUCUUUUUGUUAACUUACUCUUGCUGUUUGUGUGUCCAGCUACACCUUUGUUGACAAUAAUAUUGAAAUUUAUUUACCAGUUUUAAUAUUAAUGAAAUGUGACCACUGAGAGAUUGUAUAAAAACAUAUGCAGUUCAGUACUAUUAAUUUAUGUAGAAGUCCUUCAGAAUUUGGUUGAUUUGAUACUGUCUUCCACUCAUUACAUGCCAAAUAUUAAGAGGAUUAGAGGAAGAACCAUUCAUCAAAGCAAAGAGUCAAAAUCAUAUAGUGCUACAAUGCUAUCUUUCUAGUUUAGAUAACCGGCUCCCAACACAGAUAUAUGGAUGGGUGGCAAUUUGGUUUUUUGCUAUGAGAACUACUUGGAUGGACAGAAAUGGUGUGUUUUCUCAGAGCAUAUAGAACAUAGUGCUAGCUAGUAAAAGUGAGAUCAUUGAGUUGGCUAAGAAAAAGAAUGAAUGAAUUUUAGUACUCCUCUUUGAGGAAGAUUAACAAGGAUGAGCUCAAACUUACCAUGUUAUAUUUUAUCUUAAAAUCAAAUAUACAUCUAAAGUUGUCCAACAGAUGAUGUGGGACUUCCCAACACUGUGUGUGUGGUCCUUAAUCAGUUGUUGACAUGCAGAGCUACAAACAGAGUAAGAAUCGGACAGAAACAGAUUAUUUAGUUUUGUUUCAUUUUGCUGAGAUUUCUCAUUGUUUUGUCUAUGGCUUCAUGUAUGAGUCAAUUUAUGUACUUAAAGUUUCACACACAAGUAGAGGCCAAGACAUAUGAUUCUAAUAUGUCCAGGCUUGAUGAGCGAAGAUAAAAAAGAGGUAUAUGAACAUCAUUUGCUAACCCCCACCCAAAGAUAGUUUACUUGAAAAUUCCUGCUCCCUCUACACAAACAACCUGAACAACUCAAAAUCCUUGCCCCAUGUACUGAGCAUCUCUUACGAAGAUAAUGCUACCUUGGUUCUUAACCAGGCUGAGGCAGUGUUAUGUUACACUCUGAAAUUCCCACUCUCUCACCUGGAACACUGGUUGCAAGAUCAUCUUCUCGAAAGCUUUUCAGUCUUACAUAACUUGUUUCCUCAAACUCACUGCAUACCAGCUUCAAUGCCUGAACAACUUCACCCAUGAAAGGACGUUGAGUGACUUCUGGUUGCACACACAUGGAUGCAAUUGCUGCAACUUUUACCAUGGUAUCGACAGAAAAAACGGGUUUUAUAAUUGGGUCUAUGAUCUUCUGCAAACCCUCCUUACUUGUAAGAAGUGGACGAGCCCAAGCAACAAGGUUUUCUUGACCUGGUGGCUGUGACAAAUCCACAGGCUUUCUUCCAGUUAGGAGCUCAAGGAGUACAACUCCAUAGCUGUAAACAUCACUUUUCACAAGAAGAUGGCCGGUCAUUGCAUAUUCAGGAGCUACGUAGCUGCAAAACAAGAGCAAUGUCACAAAAUCAGUUUCAUCUAGACGAAAUGCACAGAAAUGGUAAUGUAUAUCCGCAUAAAAGUCUGAUAAACACAAGAAGCUGGAAUGAAAUGAGUACUUUGUAAACGUGUUCAUUUGGCCAUCACGUCUAUGAUCCAUAAAAGCAUCAACAUAAAAGGGCUAGGAAGGGAUUGUUACCCAAAUGUUCCAAUGACAUGUGUUGAGAUGUGGUUGCUUCCCUCGUUCAGUGUUGUUCUAGCCAAUCCAAAAUCUGAAACUUUGGGUGUAAAAUCAUAUUCCAACAAGAUGUUGCUGGAUUUGAAGUCCCUAUGUAUGACACAUGGAUUACAAUCUUCAUGCAGAUAAGCCAAUCCCCUAGCUGCACCAAGUGCAAUCUUCAUCCGUGCAUCCCAAUCAAGUGGCUCGGUUUCCUUGUCAGCACCUAGGAGCAAGUUAGAGCAUUCAAAAGUCAGACUCUUAUGAAUUGGCUUCCAAAAGUGUUGAUGACUUUCAUCAUCAGUGACUUUGCUUACCAUGUAAGUGGGAUUCAACGCUGCCAUUAGGGACAAGCUCGUAGACUAAGCAGCGAGUUUGUUUCUCUGUGCAUAAACCUAUCAAUUUAACUAAAUUUCUAUGGUGCAAGCAGCUAAGCGUCUCAGCUUCUACAAAGAAUUCACGGUCUCCAUGCUGGUCCUCUCUUUUGAGAAUCUUCACUGCCACAUCCCUGCCGUCAUCUAGGUCACCUUUGUAAACAAGACCGAAGCCACCUUCUCCUAAUAUUCUUGAAGAAUCGAAGUUAUUUGUUGCUUUCUCUAUUUCAUUCAAAGUAAAUAUUUUAGCUGAUCCUGUAUAUAUUAUUGUUCCAGAAUUGAAGGACAUUGAUCUAGAACCCGGCAUGCUCCCAUAAUUCAAUGCCCUUGCACUGGCAGUCCCUGCUUUGAACAUAUUCAGUUUUAUAUUUAGAGUGAAUUCGACUUGCAACUACUUGAAGAUGUAGACUCUUAAGUCUCAAAUAAAGAGCUAAGAUGUAGAUUUUCCAAGCAAAAUGUCCAGUGAAGUCACAAAAAGUAAAAGACUAAAUUAGCAUAGUAAUCUGAAAGGCUGAAACACUUAAAACUGCAGUCUUUUACAGUAAAACAUCGAUUCUGUCCUUGAAAUUAGGUACCCCUUAAAAUUAAAAGUAAAGGUACCCCUUAGCAUUACCAACUAUCAGUUAAGUAUUUCAAGCAUUAGAUCUUGUACUCCAUAACAUUAGAUUUAGAUGUACACAAAAUCUAUGUACAUACAACUAGCCAGUAGCCUAAUAAUAUAAAUUAGAUUGAAAAAAACAUUUAUAAUUGAAACUGACAUUGCAGAGCCCUUCUAAUCGGGAGUCUCUUUCAAAAAUAAGGUUAUGCUGUUUAAAAGUAACAAACACACGGUUUUCUUUCGUAAAAGGUGAAAGAAUAAUUCACUUUGUGUUAGUCAUACUACUCCAUAAGAAACAUUCAUGACAGCCCUUUCAUUUUAUGGUGUAAGCAAUUCACUUAGAAUUACAAGAUUUCAAACAAAGGAUAGAAGUAUUUCUAAUUGCAAGAAAUAAAUCAUUAUGAUGCUUAAUUGUUUAAAGAAAUUAUAGAAAACAAAAAGUUCCCUAUUACUGUUUCUAAAGUGCCAUCAAGAUUUUGACAGAAUCAGUACUUUUAAGUUACCUGAUCGCUUUGAAGAGAAUGGAAUUUUGACAUCUGGAAUUUGUUCAGGUUCAAGAGUGCAGGAACCACAUUUCAAGAGACAAAGCCAGGCAACUCCAAUGAAUAGAACAAAGGCAGCAAAAGAUGACAGCACGAUCAUAAUAACCAUUCUUCCACCACUCCCUUCUUUUUUCUUCCCUGAGACAUCUACUCCUAAAGGUUUCACUAUUGUUCCAUCGUUCCUGCGACCAGGGUAUGGUUCAACAUCUAUACCGUGAACAUUUGAAGGUGGAGAUGGUGGAAGGCCUGCAUGAGUUAUCCAAAAGGAUAAACGAAACCAAAUAUACCACGUUUAUUGACUUCAUAUUAAUACACACAAAAUGGUCUUAAGAAACUUAUGUUAAUGUAAAACCUGGAUAAUGAACAUAGAGCACUUCAUAGUCACCAAAGGCAGAAGCAUCAUUGAGAACCUCUCUCUGCCAGAAUUUCUUAUAUAUUAAAAAUGCAGUUGUGUCAUCAAACUUCACUCCUUGAGGUACCAAAUUUAUGAGAACAAUGGUUUUCUCGAGCUGCUGGCUAGUUGCAUCAGCUCCCACAACGCGUACUUGAUUAUGGUUCAGCAAAACACUAGCAGCAAUUUCAUUGGCAAGCUUGGAAACCAAAGGAAAAAACUUGUAUAUUGCAAUGUUGAUGCGAAGUUUAACUUGAAGUGGCCACACACAACCACAAGGUGAUCCAGGAGGUGUAUAUGUCAAGGGCUCAGAGCAAGUCACCGAUAUACAAUCUAAAGGUCAAUCAGGAAUAGGAUCAAUACACGCAUAUCACAUAACUAGGUGGAGAUUAUUGAAAAGAAGGAAUCAGUGUAAAUGCGUAAUAUAAAAAUCCUUUAAAAUUUUAUAGUUGCGGGAUAAAGCCUAGGCUCUAUAGUAAUACUAAUACCUUUGUUAGGUGGUGGAGAUGGUAGAACCAAAGUAUAUGCUGGUGGUGGAGUCUCUGUCUUCUUCAAUGAUGAACCUGGAGGUGAAAUUCUAGGUGAAGGAGAGGGUACUGUUGGUGAUGGACAAAGCAUGCCACAAAGAAUGAGGUGCUAAAUCUAGUUAGCCAUCAGGUUGACAAGAUAUAAGAAACACAAGUAAAAGAAAUGACCAAAACGAGUGUUUAAUACCAUUCAAGUGGUGUGAUAGAACUGUUGGUGAUGAUGCAGGUGCUGGUGCUGGUGCUGAUGUGGGUGCAUUUAAACGCAGGCUCAUAGGUGAAGAGAAUGAAUGUUGAUAUUUGAAGACUGGAGAACCUACAUUUUCAAGAGAAGUAUGCAGAGAAAUGUAAUUAAUUUUGGGGUGUUCCAAGUCAAGAAAUAUUGAAAUUGUGCAAGAACUUUAUUUUUCUGAGAAUCAAACCUUGAUGAGUAUGAGGGUGGAUUGGAUAGGUUGGGCCAGGAACUUGGUUGUUGGACUUUCUUCUGGAAUGGCGAUGCUUAUGGUGUGAUAUUGGAGAGUCCAUAGAACUGUGCGUCCAUUUCAUUUUGGGGAAUGAUUUGGAAGGUGAAAGUGCAAUACUUCCGGCAUUUCUAGAAGAUGCCUUGGAAGGUGGAAGUGCAAUACUAUGAGGAAGUCCAGAAAGUGAUUCUGAUGGCGGGAAUGCAAUACUUGAAGGGCUUCUGAUUCUCGAAUGGUGCAGAUAAGUGGCUACACAAUUUAAAAUUUAAUUUGGAUAAUUGUGGGUUUGAACAUCGUAGAGAGGAAGUUACAAACUAUUAAAUAAGUUGAAAUAAAACUGCUCAGGUGGUACUAAGAAAGCUAAGAGACUAACUGCUUAGAUUCAUUUAUCUGAAGCUUUUUUUCUCUUCUCUUGUUCAUUCUAAAAUCAUAGCAAAAGAACUAGUUUCCUGUUCAUUACUUGUAUUGAUUGUAAAAAAUGCUACAUUAUUGACAUGGUGACCAGAAAAAAAAGUGAAAGACCUGCUGCUUCUUUAAUCCAGAGCAUGAUGUUCUAUUAAUGAUUGCACAAUCAUAUUAUCAUUUGUAAUUGUCUGUGCCUAGAAUGGUAAGCGAACACAAAUAACGCACUCAAAUAAUUUUGACUGGUGACAUGCAUUGCUAUAGGCCUAUAGUAUACCAGACCAGACAGACUAAUGUCUCAAUAUUAGAGCUUCGAUCUUCACUUCAACAAUAAACACAUUUUACCACUCAAGGAGUGUGAAUAUGAGCAAAAGAGAACUUAGCAUAUUAUGAAAUUAAACGUAAGCCAUUUUGACAUGUUUGAACAGAAAAGUUUGGAACUAAAAUAGAACUCAUUUAUAAAUUUACGAAAACCCAUAAUAGCUGAGCCUGAGACUAUGAACGAACAUCCAAAUAUGCAGAAUAGAUAAGCUGUGACUAUAUCACUCUCUAGUCUACAGUAAGGUUGAAAUUAGUUUUCCAUCUAUUCAUUUUCAUCAAGGGAACAGUUACCCAAACAAACAAGAAAUACCCGUAAAUGUAUAAAUGUAUAAUGAACCACAUUUCAUGUUCAUUAAUAAUUUAUGGGCUACUCAAAUGGAUCAUACAUGUAAGUAGUAAAAAGCAAGUCAGAAUGUCUAAAUUAAGCUCAUACCAGCAUAUUCAUGAAGCUGGGGAAUACAUAUAACAAAAUGUAGCUUAAUUAGCAGGAAAAUAAGCUGCAAUUCCAUUCUGAAGAUCUUUCACCGACAACCCAAAUGGAGAGUAAUAUUGAAGUGAGUUUGGAGGUAGCUGCAGCCUGCAGGCAGCAUAUGCUGAAGCACUGUGGGGGACAGCCUCCUAUGAGAAAAAGACUAAAAUAAAAGCAGACCGACAAUGCUAACCAAAUUUAAUAGGAGAUGAAGAGUGUGGUAACGGCAAAAGAAUGGUUUAGGAAGGAGACACACAUGCUUCCUCCCUUUUCAUAAUUAAUGAUUGCCAAAUGACAAUUUCAUUGUGAGAACUAAGAGUAGAUAAAACCAAAAAAAAAAAAACACCACAGGACAAUCUGAACAACAAAGUAGAGAGUAGUAACUUCUUUGUAAGGGGGUUGGACUUGUGUUAGUGUGCUUUGAUUUUGAGAGAGAGAGAAAGAGAGGGAAGUGGCAAAGUACUGAAUGACAAACAUUGAUUGAGGCAGAGACUCGUUGAAUUAACCGUGUGAAUUGCAUGUGCAUUGGUUGAACGAAAGCGAGUCAUUGAAUCAAAUACCAUAACAUUUGACUUUCUGUAUAGUUUAUCGAGGCAAAAUGAUUCACCCAAAACAUGAUCGACUUAUUCUUCUUGGUUUAAUUUAAUGUACACUGCUACUGAGUUGGUUUGGAAAGUAAAAAAUUUGAGAGCAAAUUUUUAUAUAUUAAUAACGAAUGCUCUAAAAGAUUAAAGAAUCACUAGAUUUGAACUUCACUUAGGAUAUGUGCGAAUAGAUUUUGAGUUGGAUUUAUAUAAAUAAUUUAAUCAUAUUUGAAUGGAUUGAUUUAUAUUAAUUUUUCAAUAAAAAAUUUAAAACUCAAUUCAAACUAAUACAUCGGUAAACAAUAUGGGUUGGGUCAAUUAGUUAAAACAUUUAAAUUUAUCUAUUAUUUUUUCGAAAUCCAAUAUAUAAGGUAAAAUUUUCAUUAAAUAAAAUACCAAAUACAUUAUUUAUAUAUGUUAGGUGCAGUCAAAUAGUGAAAAAAACAUCAAAGAAAGAAUUAUAUUAUUAUCAUCAUAAUCAUCACAUGGGCUAACAUGCUAUUUUGAACAUGAUUUAAAAAUGGAAAUAUAAUAAACAUUCACCGUACCUAUGAAGUAAAAACUAGGUGAUUGGGAUGUAAAAGGGGAGAAAAGAUUAUUCACUUGGUAGUGUUAAAGCUACUAGAAAAAAGCAUACAGUUGUUAGCUCUAGACUCGACUAACCGUUUUGAUUAACUAGGUGAUUCAUUUGAAUAUCGUUAAAAUCGAGUGACCAAUUUAUCGAUCAAAUUAAGAUCGACAAAAACCUAUCAAAAUCGAAUAAAAACUAAUGGUCAAAACGAAUUUAAAAUGAUAUUUAUUUUUGUAUUUUAAAAUCUUUUUCAAAAACUUUGUUUAUUUAAAUAAAGAAUCAGAUACAAGGGCAACAAGGCAUAUAUGAUUGUACCAAAAAAUUAUACAAGGCUUGUGAAUUGUUAUCAUUUACCUAUUUAUUGUAAAUUUUGUAUAUUGUAAAACACGCAAUAUAAUCAUUUUAUGCUAAUUUAAAAAUUUACCCAACUUGAUUUUUUGUAAUGUUAUAUUGAUUUAUUAUAUUUACUUAGCACGAGUAAUCACAAUUAAACAAAUAAAUAUGACUAGUCUAAUUUUAAAAUAUUGUAUUUAAAAGAUAUAUAUUGUAUCAAUGAUUUUUAAGGUCGCAAAAGAGGAAACAAUUUUCAUUUGAACAAUGCUUCUCACAAAUAGAGAACAAUAGUCAUUUCUUAAAUUUUGCUCUCCUUAAAAUCUUUCAGUCUGCUUAAAAAAAAAACCUCAAGGAAGAAAAAUAGAUAAAUAAAUAAAUGAGUUGUUAAACUAGUUAUGUUAAAAAUUUGGUAAUACGCCUUUAUUACCUAUUAACGAUCUUAUUUCUUUGAUUCAAAAAUCAAAAUAGUCAAAUAUGUAAUAUAUAACUAGUUUCUCAAUACCGUAAUUUUAUGAAAAUAGGUGUAAGAAAAUUGUUUUAUGAACGCUAAUCAAUAUUGAAAGAAGUGACGAGAUAAACAUUGGUAGGAUGAAAUGUCCCCACCAUUGACAACACCCAGAAGAUUUGGUAGUUGCUUUAAAAUGCGUUGUCAGAUUUAGUAUCUAACGUUCACCUUCUACCCUUAAUGAAAAUAACGUUCCCAGAGAAUGGCCAUUUGUGUCGGUGAAGUUGCCCGGGUUUAAUAUUGUUUUCUUUUUGUAAGUUUUAGAAAAAAUAAAACUGGGCAAUGAAAACAAUUAUUAAAUUGACCAAGGCUUAGUUUGGUUUUGAAGUUGAUAAUGCACUUCUUGCGAGUACACGGUUCAUGCAGAUCAUUGAGCCUGAUUGCUUGUUAGGCCUACUUGAACUGGGGUUUGGGUUAAUAUCAAACAUAAAACGAAAACGCAUACUAUUGUUUAUUUUUAACAGGCCACAUUACUAUGUUAAUUAUUUCAUGUUUAAAUAAAAAAAAUAUUUUUAUAAGUUCUUGUUGGGAAAUUCGAGAAGAAUAAACGCGAAAAAAGAUUUGCACUUGUGGACAUAAGAAAACUGACAUCACACUCUAACCCAACACUUUAAGACUUAACUUUAUGGUCUUCUCCUUAUAUGAUAUUUCACUUUUAUUUAAUGUAAAACUUGACCUCACACUUGUAUUCCAACCGUUCUAACUUAUAAUUAUAUAUGAUUAGUAUUAAAAAUAUAAGUUAUUAUUAAUUUUUUUAUAACAUUAUAUUAUAUAUUUACUAGUAAUAUAAAUACAUGCAUUUUUAGUUCCCAGCAUAUUUAAGUUAUAUAUAAUUUAUUUUUCAUACAUAAACCAAAUUAAUUAGUGUCCUAGUGAUCUUGUGCUCGGUGUCAAAGCAAUGGGUAAAUUAAGUGUUGAACCAAAUUUCAUUAAGGACCAAAAACACAAUUAAGGGGGAAAAAAACAUCAAAGAAAACGAUGUAGCGCAACAGUUUUGUGAAAUUGAAAAAGGUGAAGUUGAAGUAAUAGUUCACAAACAUGUGAUCUAAGAAUUUGCAAUCAGCUGGCUAUAACUUACUUAUUAUUGACUUUAAUUGUGUGAAUGAUUAAUGAAAUAUGUGAUUUAAGAAUUGAGCAUUUGUAGUUGCAAUUCAUACAAAGUCGCAGAUUAAUUAAUGAUUGGGUAGUAUAGCAGCAUAGCAGGUAGAGUCCUAAAGAGAAAAUCCGGGAAAUCGUGGCCGUCUGAUCAUUGUUGUAUAACGAUGAUAAGUGUUGUAGUUGAGAGAAUUGACUGAAUGAAGUCACUGGUGGCAGCGGCUUCAUAAUGAACAUGGCCUUCGUUGGAAUGCAGUAGUAGUAGGAGAAGGGGUAGUAGUAUCUCACUAAUGGUUAUAAUUUUCUCAUUCCACUCUCUUCUAGAUACAUUGCCAUCGUAUGUUUAGUUCUGGACUUCUGGUCCUUUCUUUUCUGUAGUUUUUAAGUUGUUUCUUUUCAUAAGUUAUUAAUUAUGUAUUAUUGGUUUAUAAAAUAUGAGAAAUGAGAGAUAUCUUGUGGUGAGUUUGAAUUGACAAACAAACAUUAUGGCAAACUAUUCAUUCAUCUAGCUGUACUCACUAGUCAAUUAUUCACACCUUUAAUUAGGAAUACGAGUAUACAACUGAUGUCCCUAGUAGAGGACAAUUUUCAUGAUAUAUUUAUCUUAAAAAAAAACGCUAACAAUAGGUAUAAAAUUAGGCUAAAGUUCUUAAAUCGUUGUCAAAUAAUUAAAAGAAAAAGCGAUGAAUUUGCAUAUUAAUGUUAAUUAAUUCUUUAAUGAAACUAUCUAGCAACUCCGUGCUUAAUCGUCAUGUCUUAAAUUAGUUGGUAAAUGUAAUUUAAUAUGGCUUUAAGAAAUAGUCCCAGUGCGUAAGAAAGGAGUUGGUUUCAUUUGUCAAAAUCCUAAUCGAAAAUUUGUAAUUAGGUGGAAGAAAAACAAGUUGACCUUAAAGUCUUAAAGUAUGAUAAACGGAAUAUAGAAAUUAAGCGUGAGGAGCAUUUUAUAAGCGCCAUGUAGAAUGUAGAGAGAGCUGGAUACAGCUAAAUGCUGUGGUUAGAACGUUGCCAUCUUUCUUUCCUCUUCCUACCCCACCUUCUCCAAAUUCUAAUCACUGUUUAAACCAUGUUUAUCCCAAAACCACCUCCCUAAUAACCCCUUAAUUUCUCUCUCACACACACUUUCCCACAUCUCUCAUACACUUCCUGCUUCUCUCUCUCUCUCUCGUCCUUUUUCCUCAUUCUCUUCUUCACAAAACAUCACUCUUUUUUCAUUUCACCGACAACACAACAACGUGAGUUAAACAAAAAACAGUAACUCCACGCAGCCAUGACAGACAGGGUGUACCCAUCCGCCAAGCCCGCCGUGGUUAACGGCGGCGCCGCCAACCCAUCUUUCCCGGCGACGAAGGCUCAACUUUACGGCGCCACCCGCCCCACCUACCGCCCUCAACCCCACCACCGGCGCCGGAGCCGGCGACGGUGCUGCUGCACCUUCUUCUUCUGGCUGAUCCUCACCGUGCUGAUCCUCCUCCUCCUGAUCGGCGUCGCCGGCACGGUGUUCUACCUCCUCUACCGCCCGCACCACCCCACCUUCACCGUCACGUCGCUGAAACUCUCCUACCUGAACCUCACCUCCUCCUCCAACACCCUGAACUCCCGCUUUGACAUCACCGUCUCCGCCACGAACCCCAACAAGAAGAUCCUCUUCGCCUACGACCCCACCUCCAUCACCAUCCUCUCCGGCGACAUCGACGUCGGCGACGGAACCGUCCCCGGCUUCCAGCACCCGAAGAAGAACACCACGCUCAUCAAAGCCUCCAUCCUCAGCUCCGGCCACGCGCUCCAAAGCGACGAAGCUUCACGUUUGAAGUCCAGCAUGAAGAGCAAGAACGGGUUGCCACUCAAAGUGAAUUUGGAAACC
rnacentral:lncRNA from 1 species